AGAAUGUGAAAUCUCUCCCAAAUCUCUCUUUGUAUGAGAAAUCUCUCCAAGAAUGUGAAAUCUCUCCCAAAUCUCUCUUUGUAUGAGAAAUCUCUCCAAGAAUGUGAAAUCUCUCCCAAAUUUCUCUUUGUAUGAGAAAUCUCUCCCAAAUCUCUCUCAAAAGUUCUUGUAACUUUUUGAAGUCAUUCGGGUCAUUCUGACCCUUAACCGGGUCAAAAACGGCUUGAAACGGGGUAAAAACGAGUAAAAUAGGUUUAAGGACCCGAAACCCCUCUUAAGGACCCGAAACCCCUCUUAGGGCCAAGAGUCCUCUUAGGGACCGAACCCUUCUGAGCCGAAGGCUGCUGACCCGAACCCGAAGGGUCCUCUUGGGCCCGAACCUCGCAUGCACACCCGAACCCGAAGGCUCCUGGAACCGAACCCGAAGGUACUGUUCACUUCGGUCCAGUUCGCUUCUGAUGACUUCGGACCGAGCCCUUCGCUUCCUUGUUGCCUCGCCUCGCUUCGGACCCAGCUUCAGGAGGACCGAACCUCCGACCCCUUUCCGAGAAGCCUCGCUGGAAGUUCUUUUCUUCCCGGUUUUCGACUACGACUUCAUUUUUGCUUCGUUUUUAAUUGUUUUAACGUGGGAUUUUCACCAAAAACUUUAUUUUAACAUAUAAGGACCCAUAAUUAUUAAUUUAUUAUGUUUUUAAGGAUAAAACCUUAUCCAAAAAGAGUGGGUGAAGUACAAGAGGUGGAGUGUUGACUUUUCUUUAUUCUAUGACACAAGCAACCACCAUACCCACUCCAUGCCUAACCCACACUCCUCCCCACCAUACCUUGUCACUUCCUUGUCCUUUUUACCUCACUCACAAGUUAUUCCCACGUUUUUGAGAGCUGGACAUUCAUCCUCUCUCCGCAUUUCUUUCACUUGCUCUCAUUUCACCAAAAAUACAACACAACUUUUCUCUCAAACUUUUUCUCUCCAUUUCAAGACUCCAAGGCUGAUUUUCAAGCUUUAUUCUUCUCUUGGUAAGUAUAAUUCAUCCCCCUUGUGAUUAUUACACUUCAUUCUACUCAAAUCAUUGAUUUCUUCCACAAACAUCAUCACAUUCUUGUUAGAUCUUCUUCAAGUGAUUCUUGAAGUGAUUCUUCAAGUGUUCUUGAGUUGAACACUUCUCUUCUUCAACAUACAUCUACUGAAAUCACUCAAGGUGAGUUCAUACCCCUACAUUUUCAUGUUUUCUCAAGUUUUUAGGGGGGGAAUACAAGUUAAAACACCAAGAACAUAACUAAAAUUUUCUAACAGCCUUCAUCAGAAAAGUUCAACUUCAUUCACGGACUGUUUUGGACAACUUAAACAUUUUAGUUUUCAAAACUGUUUUAGGUGCAUGUAGUUCCACUUCUUAGCUUUAAAAUGACUACUUGCACAUCUCCAUACGAUUUUUCUACAAUUUAUGGUGAUUUUUACAAAACUGCCUAUCAUUUCAAACAUCAAUCCGGACCAGUCUGUGAUUAUGGACUUUUUCACACAAGUAAGAGGUCAUUAAAAUUUAUAAUAAAAAUUAUGAACAAACUAGGCUCAUUUUCCAAACUCUCAGAAUUUACGGAUUCUGAUUUUCACCUUUAGUUAUUUUUCUAUGAAUUUUCUAAAAACAGAAUAGAAAUGACAAUACUAGAAAAAUGUUUUCAAUUUCAUAUGCACCUUGUAACUUGUUGAGCAAGGUGUGUACCUUCAUGUGGUGAUAUGUUAUUACCAUAUAUGUCAUCUUGACUUAUUAUAGACUUACAUCAGAAAACAAAUGGAUUCUUAGCUCCAUAAGUAUGGUAAAUAUAUAAAUGAUAUUACAAGGCUAUAUCCAUUAAAAUACAAACAUUGGUAAACUAUGACAAGUAAGGCUUAUGCUCACUACCCACACAAAUAUUUAAUAAACUAUAAUAGGUAUAGUUUAGGGUUAUUUUACAUAACAAACACAUUAUUAAAGGUUUAACACAUACAAAAGAGUUAUUACCACUAUGGAUAAUUAUGAUAAACUAUAAUAAGUAUAGUUAAGCCAUUAUACCCCCACAAACGAACACGCUAGUUAUAAUCGGUAUAGUUAUGGCAUAUAUAUAUUACAAACAAAGUGAUAAACUAUAAUAGGUAUAGUUUAUGUUUCAUCUACACUAUGAACUUAAUUACAAGAAAGGAAUUCACCAUCACCACCACUUUUGAUAAGCUAUAAUAUGCAUAGUUCAUGUUCACUACCACUAUCACUAUUUGAUGAACUAUGAUAUGUAUAGGUUAUAUUCACCAUCACCACCACUUUUGNNNNNNNNNNNNNNNNNNNNNNNNNNNNNNNNNNNNNNNNNNNNNNNNNNNNNNNNNNNNNNNNNNNNNNNNNNNNNNNNNNNNNNNNNNNNNNNNNNNNNNNNNNNNNNNNNNNNNNNNNNNNNNNNNNNNNNNNNNNNNNNNNNNNNNNNNNNNNNNNNNNNNNNNNNNNNNNNNNNNNNNNNNNNNNNNNNNNNNNNNNNNNNNNNNNNNNNNNNNNNNNNNNNNNNNNNNNNNNNNNNNNNNNNNNNNNNNNNNNNNNNNNNNNNNNNNNNNNNNNNNNNNNNNNNNNNNNNNNNNNNNNNNNNNNNNNNNNNNNNNNNNNNNNNNNNNNNNNNNNNNNNNNNNNNNNNNNNNNNNNNNNNNNNNNNNNNNNNNNNNNNNNNNNNNNNNNNNNNNNNNNNNNNNNNNNNNNNNNNNNNNNNNNNNNNNNNNNNNNNNNNNNNNNNNNNNNNNNNNNNNNNNNNNNNNNNNNNNNNNNNNNNNNNNNNNNNNNNNNNNNNNNNNNNNNNNNNNNNNNNNNNNNNNNNNNNNNNNNNNNNNNNNNNNNNNNNNNNNNNNNNNNNNNNNNNNNNNNNNNNNNNNNNNNNNNNNNNNNNNNNNNNNNNNNNNNNNNNNNNNNNNNNNNNNNNNNNNNNNNNNNNNNNNNNNNNNNNNNNNNNNNNNNNNNNNNNNNNNNNNNNNNNNNNNNNNNNNNNNNNNNNNNNNNNNNNNNNNNNNNNNNNNNNNNNNNNNNNNNNNNNNNNNNNNNNNNNNNNNNNNNNNNNNNNNNNNNNNNNNNNNNNNNNNNNNNNNNNNNNNNNNNNNNNNNNNNNNNNNNNNNNNNNNNNNNNNNNNNNNNNNNNNNNNNNNNNNNNNNNNNNNNNNNNNNNNNNNNNNNNNNNNNNNNNNNNNNNNNNNNNNNNNNNNNNNNNNNNNNNNNNNNNNNNNNNNNNNNNNNNNNNNNNNNNNNNNNNNNNNNNNNNNNNNNNNNNNNNNNNNNNNNNNNNNNNNNNNNNNNNNNNNNNNNNNNNNNNNNNNNNNNNNNNNNNNNNNNNNNNNNNNNNNNNNNNNNNNNNNNNNNNNNNNNNNNNNNNNNNNNNNNNNNNNNNNNNNNNNNNNNNNNNNNNNNNNNNNNNNNNNNNNNNNNNNNNNNNNNNNNNNNNNNNNNNNNNNNNNNNNNNNNNNNNNNNNNNNNNNNNNNNNNNNNNNNNNNNNNNNNNNNNNNNNNNNNNNNNNNNNNNNNNNNNNNNNNNNNNNNNNNNNNNNNNNNNNNNNNNNNNNNNNNNNNNNNNNNNNNNNNNNNNNNNNNNNNNNNNNNNNNNNNNNNNNNNNNNNNNNNNNNNNNNNNNNNNNNNNNNNNNNNNNNNNNNNNNNNNNNNNNNNNNNNNNNNNNNNNNNNNNNNNNNNNNNNNNNNNNNNNNNNNNNNNNNNNNNNNNNNNNNNNNNNNNNNNNNNNNNNNNNNNNNNNNNNNNNNNNNNNNNNNNNNNNNNNNNNNNNNNNNNNNNNNNNNNNNNNNNNNNNNNNNNNNNNNNNNNNNNNNNNNNNNNNNNNNNNNNNNNNNNNNNNNNNNNNNNNNNNNNNNNNNNNNNNNNNNNNNNNNNNNNNNNNNNNNNNNNNNNNNNNNNNNNNNNNNNNNNNNNNNNNNNNNNNNNNNNNNNNNNNNNGGGGAUUAAUUGCCAUUAUUGCAAUGGUGCUAAUCACUUGGCAGUAGAUUGCUUGUUAAGAAAGAAGGAAGAAAAGAAAAAUAAAACAAAGGAUGAAGCUUAUUAUACAGAGAAGCUGGAGGAAGUGAAGUUAAAGGCAAAGAAUUUAUCUCUGGUAGCUCAUGGAGAAACUGAAUCGGAUGGUACAUAUCAAAUAUGGUCUUCAGGUUCUGACGAUGAAGAGAUGAAAAAUCCAUCACAUGGAGCCAUGUUUGCAAAGAUUGAAGAGGAUUCAGACGAAGAACAGACUUACGAAGUGCGUGGGCAAUGCUUCGUAUCGAAGUCUACUGACAAGUCACCUAUGACAACAAAGGUACGUAAUAUUCUUGAAUCCUUUAAUAUUCCUGUUUCUGCAUAUAAUUAUGAAUUAAUAUCUUUUGAUGAAACCGUUACUUACUUUGAUUCAAUUGUCGUGUCUGCUAGCAAUGAAGCGAAAAAGUUAAGUGAUCAAUUACUAGAGACAAGAAAGAAGUUAGAUUCAAAAGUCACUAGGAUUGAUUACUUAGAAUUGCAAGUAUCGAAUAUUAUGGCAGAUAGGGAGAAUUUGUCAAAAGAAAUAAAUUUGUUAUUAGCUCAAAGAAAUAUUUUUUGUAAUUCUGCAAAAAGACUAUAUGGAAAAUUAACUGAAUUACACCAUUCAAGUGAGAUAAGUAAGGAACAACAUAGAAAAUUGCUACCAUUUUUAGCUUAUGACAGAGCUAAGGUAGAUAGUAUUUCAUAUGAUUGUGAAAAAGAAAUUUCUGAUUUUAACAAAGUUCCAGAUGAUAGGUUUAGAUAUGGAAUUGCUAAAGUCGAAGAUUGUCUUGAUGCUAAUGAUUUAGUAAACAUUGUGAAUGAAACCUUAACUAAAUCUGAACAGAUUCGAAUUUUGAAAAAGACUGAGAAUUCUACAUCUAAUUCAGAAUCUAAUUUCGUUGAUAUUGAAGAUAAUUCUGAUAAUAUUAGUGAAAUUAGUGAUUUAGAGGAUGUAGAUUGUUCUCAAUUGUCUGUAAUAAAUGUAGCAAAUUCUUUUAAAGGGAAAGAAAAAUGUGAAGAUUUGUUGGUAAAAAUUGACACUGAUCAACCUUCAACUUCGAAAGUUUCGAAAAUUUAUUUUCGAAACAUCAACAAACUUGUCGUACAAGAUCUGGUAAGAGGUUUACCCAUUCUUAAAUAUGAUAAUGACAGUUUGUGUGCAGCUUGCGAAGUAGGAAAACAACACAAACAAGGUCAUUCAAUCACAAUAGAUUCGAAGAUUGUUGAACCCCUCGAACUUUUGCAUAUUGAUUUAUGUGGUCCUUCAACAGUUGCUACUCUUAACAAGAAAAGGUACAUUCUAGUAAUUGUAGAUGAUUUUUCAAGAUUUACGUGGGUUUAUUUUUUCAUGUUAAAAUCCGAAGUUUCACAAAUGAUGAUUGAUUUUAUCAAGAAAAUGGAAAUUUCGUUGAAGAAGCCAGUUCGAAAAAUUAAAAGUGAUCAUGGAACUGAAUUCAAAAAUCGGGUUUUAGAUUCAUUUCUGGUGGAAAAGACAUUUCGCAUAAUUUUUCAUCUCCAUAUACACCACAACAAAAUGGUGUAGUUGAACGAAGAAAUCGAUCAUUAUGCGAAGCUGGAAGAACAAUGUUGGCAUAUUCGAAUUUACCUCAAUAUCUUUGGGCCGAAGCUGUUUCAACUGCUUGCUUUACUCCGAAUAGAUCAUUCAUUCAUAGACGGUUUAAUGCUACUCCUUAUGAAAUCAUCAAUAAUCGAAAACCAAAUGUCAAAUUUUUCCAUGUUUUUGGAUGCAGGUGUUUUAUAAUGAAUCUUAAGGAUAAUCUUUCGAAGUUCCAAACAAAAGCUGAUGAAGGAAUUUUCUUGGGAUAUUCACAUAAUUCUGUUGCUUAUAGAGUGUUAAAUAAGCGAACUCGCAAAGUGGAAGAAACAUUCAAUUUGACAUUUGAUGAUAAUUACAUUAAAAAGACUAAUCAUCAAUUUGCAAAUUAUCCUAUUUUGCAAAAUUCUUUGAAUGAAAAUGAACCAAUUGAAAUGGAUGAUGCUAAUUAUGAAUCGAUUUUUGGUAUUUCAGAUCAAGCAAUUGAUGCAGAGAGAAAUGCGAAAGAUAAUCAACAAUCAGAAAAUUCGAAGCUUGAUAAUGACUCAAUUUCGUGUUCGAAUCAAAACACAAAUGUAAUAUAUGGUGGUCCAAUGGAGGGGGAGCACUUGGAUUCGAACAGUUUUGUUGAAGGGGAGCAUUCUUACGAAGCAGAUGUUAUGUCUACCAAUGUUGAUGUUGAGGGGGAGCCAAUCGUCGAAGCGGAGCCAAUACACGAAGAAGAGCCAAUAUUUGAAGAGGAGUCAAUACCCGAGGGGGAGCCAAUACUUGAGAAGGAUCCAAUUAUUGAAGAAGAACAUUUCGAUGAUGCUGAGGAUGCAUGUUCAAUAAAUGGAUCAGAAAAUGAUGCUAUGUUUGAAGAUGCACCUUUGGAUUUUGAUCCUGAUUAUCCACCAUUAGAAAAAUGGACAAGAAAUCAUCCAAAAGAACAAAUUCUUGGAGAUCCACAAGCGGGAGUAUUGACAAGGGCUCAACUUCAUGCAAGAAAUGAGGUAUUAAAUACUCACCAAGAGUUAUGCAUGUUUAAUGUUUUUAUUUCCAAAAUCGAACCAAAGACAGUUAAGGUUGCAAUGGAACACUCUAAUUGGGUUGUUGCUAUGCAAGCUGAAUUGUCUGAAUUCGAAAGAAACAAGGUUUGGAGAUUAAUUCCCAAACCUGUUGAUGUUUUAAUUGUUGGACUUAAAUGGAUUUUUAUAAACAAAACUGACAAAGAUGGAAACAUUAUUCGAAAUAAGGCCAGACUUGUUGUUAAAGGAUAUUCUCAACAAGAAGGAAUUGAUUAUGAGGAAACAUUUUCCCAUGUCGCGAGACUCGAGGCUGUUCGUAUUUUUCUGGCUUAUGCAGCUCAUAAAGAUUUCGAAGUUUAUCAAAUGGAUGUCAAAUGUGCAUUCUUAAACGGUGAACUCGAAGAAACGGUUUAUGUUGAACAACCACCAGGUUUUAUAAAUAACGAACAUCCUGAUCAUGUUUAUAUUUUAGAUAAAGCUGUGUAUGGGUUGAAACAAGCACCACGAGCAUGGUAUGCAACAUUAACAUCAUUUUUGAAACAAUCUAAAUUUAAACAAGGAUCAGUUGAUCCCACUUUAUUUCGAAAGAAAGUUGGGAUUCAUCUGAUGCUUGUUCAAAUUUAUGUUGAUGAUAUAAUUUUUGGCUCUACUGACCCUGCUUUAUCUAAAGAAUUUGAAGACUUGAUGAAAAGCAAAUUCGAAAUGAGUAUGAUGGGCAAAAUCAAUAAUUUUUUGGGUUUGAAUAUACGUCAAAACAGAGAAGGCAUAUUCAUUAAUCAGGAGAAAUAUUCGAAGAAUUUGUUAGAAAAGUUUGGAAUGAUGAAUAGCACAAGGUUACGAAUACCAAUGGCAACGGGCAUAAAGCUAACUUCUUCGUUAGAUAAAUCUGCUGUUGAUAUCACUCUGUAUCGAAGCAUGAUAGGGUCUUUAUUGUACUUAACUGCAAGUCGACCUGAUAUUAUGUUUUCUGUUUGUAAUUGUGCAAGGUAUCAAUCGAAUCCACGUGAACCACAUCUAACAGCAGUGAAGAAUAUUUUUCGAUAUUUGAAAGGCACUACUUCGUUAGGUUUGUGGUAUCCUUCGAAAACAGGGUUCUUUGUACAAGCUUAUUCAGAUGCGGAUCUUGGAGGAUGCAGUCUUGAUCGAAAAAGCACAACUGGUGGAUGUCAAUUACUAGAUGGAAAAUUGGUCAGUUGGCAAUCGAAGAAGCAAACAUGUGUUUCGAUAUCUACGGCCGAGGCUGAAUGUGUUGCUGCAGCUGCAUGUACAUCACAAAUUAUUUGAAUUCAAAGUCAAUUACGUGAUUAUGCUAUAAAUAUGAAAAAGAUUCCUUUAUAUUGUGAUUCACAAAGUGCAAUAAGAAUUUGUCAUAAUCCUGUGCAGCAUUUGAAGACGAAGCACAUUGAUUUCAGAUAUCAUUUCAUAAAAGAUCAUGUGGAAGAAGGAAAUAUUGAAGUUCAUUUUGUGAAAACAACGGAACAAUUGGCAGAUAUUUUUACAAAGGCAUUGGAUGAAAAAUCAUUUCUUCGUAUUUUAGAAGGAUUGGGUAUGAUUGAUGGAAAUUCACUUACAUAUGAUAAAAGCAAAGAGUGAUGGGUCUGAAUGAUUUGGAGAACUGACGAACAGGGAGCUUAAAACAUGUUAAGUGUUAAGAGGUUACUGUUCAUGGUCAACGCUUCGAAUGGUUCGCAUUCGUAUGGUUUAGUCCUUGUUGCAAUUCAUAUUCAGAGACUACUGUUCCAAGUCAACGGUUCGGAUGCUUCGUCUUCGUAUGUUUAGAAGAUAUUUUACAAGUCAACGGUUAGAAUUCUCAUUUUUUUAUGUUUUUUUUUGAAAAAUCCAAAAAGAUUUUAUUUUGUUUUGUUAUUUUUUUGAAAAAUUAAAAAUCCGAAAAGAUUUUAUUUUGUUUUGUUAAUUUUUGAAAAAUUAAAAAUCCAAAAAGAUUUUAUUUUGUUUUGUUAUUUUUUUUGAAAAAUUCAAAAAUCACAAAAAUAUUUUUGUUCUCUUUGGUUUUUAAAACAUUGUGUAUUGUGAGUUUAGUCAAGAGAUAAAUGCGAAGAGCUCAUGUUUGUGUCUUCUAUGGGAAGGCAUGCUUUCGAUAAACUGUGUACUAGUUAGGACGUCCCUAGAAGCAUGCUGCUGCAUGUUGACUCAAGCCUCAUAUGACUCUAUAUGUGAGAAAUGAAAGCCUUGAUGAAAUUAUAUCAUGAAAAUUUCUUCCCAACAAGGCUUGUAUUCGCAUAAGUCAACAGAGCUACCUUACUCUUCUCAAAUGAGUUAAGAGUUUUCUGUUUGGUCUAUCAAUAACAGAGGUACAUUCUAUUCAAAAACCAAUCUUUUUCAUCCUAAACUUCUUUACACAGUUCACACACAAGGACGUAUGUCCAAGAGACUUUUGAUCAAACCAAUCGAAAUCUAGAAAUACAAAUACUCUGUGUUUAUGAUCUGAAAUCAUGAGUCCGUGAUGGAAGAGAAACCCUAAAAUCCAACAAAUCAAGGAAUUGACGGGGAACUAUGUUCCAGAACUUACGAAACAUUUAUUUUAGUACCUUCUAUACUCAAAAUUGUAUUCAUUUUUUUGAGUGGUAUUAAUCAAGCAUUCGAAACCUACGAUGUUUGUUCCCAACAAGAUCCAGCAUAAUAAUUUUUUCAUGAAUAUGAUUUUUGUGUGAGUAUAUUUCGAAAAUCCUAGUUACUUUGAAUAUCAUUCGAAACCAAUUUGUCACUGACUACAUUGGUCACACAAAUAAUUUCGGUUACAAUUCAUCAACUUAUGUUAAGGUUGAUAUGUAACGAAAUUUUCGAAGCCACCCUUUUGCCUUAUAAAAGAAACCCUUCGAAACUUCUCUACAAGUUAUCGAUUGUAAUUCACGGGAAACCAAGCAAGCUGUUAAUUAUCUCUCUUGAUAAUUUUCGAAGAAAUCUUUGCCCGGGGUUCAAUUGUUUUUGUGUCAAAUUAAAUUUUUGACAUCACAGGUUUCCAUAAUUUUUUUCAUUUGUUUCUUCUCUAAUUUUUUUUGGAGCACAGCACACACGAAAUUCUUGAGGUUUGAGUGUUACCAACUCAAACUGAUGAUUUCAAAUCUCUGGCAUAUGAAUUCCUUUUUUUAACCCAAAAGCGAAAGAGCCUUACCUAUAUUCGAAGGAAUCCGACGGUUACACUUCUCUUGGGGAAUACCAAACAGUCUUGUCUAUUGGUGACAUAUGGUAUACGAUACGAGUUUUAGGCGUGUUGACAGUUACGUUUGUUACGUAUUUCAAGGUGCCAUGUCAGCAAGCAUUUAACGCAUCCCGCUUCAAAUUCGAAAUUCUUGGGUUACAUAUAAAAAGGGAACUCAGAGGUCUAUAACACUUUACGCGAUCAAACAUUCUCUGUCUUACAAAUUCUCUCUACAAUUCAUCUCUUAAACAGUCAUCUUCUUCAAUCAUCUUCUUGAUCAUACUCAUCAAUGGCGACUCACGAGCAAGACUCUGUUACAUCAUCACCAACAACUGAAGAAGUCGUUAGUGUUCCUAUUUUGAAGAUCCAGGGUUCCAAUUACCAAGUGGAGUCUGAUUUAUCCAAAUAUCCGGAUGAACUCAAAAUGCUGGUGGUUGCUUUACAGAAUUCGGUUCUGUCCAAAGCUAUGUUUGAUUUCUUCGCCGUUCCAAUGUCGUGGUUAUCAAAGGCUGCUUCUACUGCAUCGUACAACAAGGAUACUGGUUGUGUGGAAUUUACAAUGGUGAAUGAUACCCGUAUUAGGGUGUCUAAGAGGUUAUUUUGCAAAAUUUUGGGGAUUCCGAAUACUGGUAUAUAUGACGAAAUUUCAUCUUCUCAAGUAGUGUUCAUGUUUAAUGAAAUGGGCCAUCAACCUCCAUUGACGCGUAUUAGUGACUUUAAGAAGUCUGGAUUACCUGGUAGGAUGAUCAAUCUAGUUUGAAUUUGUAGUUUGGGAAUGGUUCUCAUAGACUGAUAAAAAGAUCAUGCCCAACAUAAAAGAUUUUCCUAAAGUUCCUCCAACCACUGCAUUCCAAAACUGUUAGAAAUAGUUAUCAAUCAUACUAUUAAAGUGAAAUGGAAUUUCAUUAAGCUAGGAGUUGACUGUUAUUAUCCUAGUCAACUAGUUAACAUGUGCAUAUAAUCAGUUCACUCCUAUUUUGAUAUGAAUAACUUGGAAAUUUCCAUAAAGGAGUUGCAUGGCAUGUUGAGCCUCUUUGGGACUAACAUAGGCAAUCAUAGAAACUCCAAUUUAAAAUACUCUUAUAUUCACUGUCAUGAAUAGAAGUGUCAAGAAGAAGAAAUUCAAUUUCCCAUGCAUAAAACGCAAUUAAUGGUGAUAUACCUAAUCCGACCCCAAACUUAAAGAAGGCUUAUUCACAGGUUUACUUUGAUAAACUAUUCGUUUCCAAAAUAAGAAAAGGACUUAGAAAGCAGUCAUGCCCAAUAUGUCUAAUGGAUAAGAAUGAAACAUAGAAAAAAUACAUUGUGUUGGAUUUAUAUGCUCAAAAUCAUUUUAGAAUAAUGUUUCCAAUAACAUAUGAUCCUAUAAGGUCACACCUUUAGCAAGUUGUCACUUAUUUAAUAUUUAUUAGUAAUAUGAUUAUUAAUAAAUAAAUUCAACCCUUGUAACUAAUUAUAGAAUAAUUAUUAUUUAUGGAAAUAAUAUUUUGUAAGAUAGAAAAACAAGUAGUAAACUCAUAAUGUAUUAUUUAUGUCGUGUACAUAUAUUUUUGACCACUUGUAGUCCCUUUAUAUAAACCUAGUUUUUAUAGUUAAAACAUGUACCUACUUGUAUAUAAUUGUUAGUGGAAGACCACCAUAUAUUUACCAUCUGAAGCUUAAACUCAUGUGUUUUGAGUGAAGAAGAGAGGUUAUUAAUAAACCAACCUCUUACACAUCCAAGACAUCUUCCUUUAGGCCAUGUGUAACAUCCGAUUCAAGGUAUCUUUCAUUUUGACCUUUAGUGUGAAUAUAGUUUGCAAAUUUGCUCAACAUUAUUGUAAUUAUUAGGAAGGAAGAGCAUAUGCUGGGCGUACCUCUUGUAUGUGGGGCAUACUUAAUCAUGGGUCAAACCCUAAUUUUUAGUAUUUGAACCCUAUUUAAACAGCCUAAUACCCAAGGUUUCCUCCUUACUAGCCUCCUUAGCAUCUUUUAAGUCCCAUUUCAAAACCCUACUCCAUUUCAAGAGAGAGUUUACAUUUAUGUGUGUUUUGGUGUGCAUUUGGUGUAACUUCAAGGAGAAGAAGUUUGGAUGAGGAGCAUUGAUCAAGAAGGAGCUUCUUGUAACAACGUAAAUUUCCAAAACAAUCUUUCAUUUUUGAAACAUACUUUUAUUCGUAAGAUACUAUCAUAACAUAACGUAUCCAAUGUUAUCAUAACAAAACAUAUCCCAGAAUCUCAAGACAUAAACUUCAUGAGUGUGUAAGGAUCAUGUCGGCGCCUUCUCGUGAUCCUCGCUAGUACCUGAGACACAUAACACAGCAAUUGUAAACAUAAAUGCUUAGUGAGUUCCCCAAAAUACCACAUACGCCACUCAAGGCUAUAAGACCUUCCGGUCUCUGUGUCUCAGAGGACUUGCGUCCCACAACCCUGGUAGACCUUCCGGCCCUACCCGUAAUGACCUUCUGAUCCAUAUCAUCCUGACCUUCUAGACCACAUGAUGACGACCUUCCGGUCCUUAUAAUUCAUAGCAUACACAACACAUACAUAUCCUAUAACAGCAUAUAGCACACACAUCCCAUAGCUUAUAAGACCUUCCGGUUACACAUAGGUCCCACUCUAGGUACUGUAUAAUGAGAAGACUCACCUCGUACGAAGUCGGAUAAACUCUCGUGCUUGACGUCCCGACCUAGCCUCCUCUUAUCAUACGACUAACAUUCCUGAUCAAUACCCUCUCAUAGCCUCAUCUCUAAAGAUUGGGUAGAAGGACAUCCUACCCCUCCCUAAACUCUCCUGAAUCAGCUUGACCAAAACCCUAAGGUCAACUGAAGUCAAUGUUCAAACUGUGACCCGACUCGUCGAGUGCACAUAGGUGACUCGACGAGUCCAUGCGGGUCCUCAGAAUCCUUCUAGCCUCACUUGGCAAGUCAAGUCAUCCCUUCACUCGACGGGUUACACCUGUCACGAAUCACCGGGUAACCCCGACUUGACUCCUCGAGUCCACUUAUGAACUCGGCGAGUAGCGUCCAUGGCAACACUGAAAUGACCUUCUGAGGUCAGAUCCGCUUCUCUAACCUAUAGAUCUGCCCUUCCCGUUUACAAUAAUCGCGUAAAGGUCUGACCUUUAUACUCAUGCAACACACAUAGGGCUCUCUUUGGUGAAAUCAUCUCUAAAAAGGCAACCUAAGAUCAUUUCUUCCAUGGAACAACAUAAAGCAGAUUGGAUAAGGCUCUUUGGACCUCUAAAGGUCCAGAUCCAAAGUCUAACACUCAAAGGAACAAUAUACUCAUCAUUUCAAGCCAAUAAAAGGGUACAGAAAACCCUAAAUUCAAGGAUCUCGUAAUAAACAGAAGAAGGGAUCGAUUUACUACGUCAAAGUUGCAGAUCCAAGCUGGAGACCGACAAAAUAGCAAUCCCCUUGACUUCAUCUUGCUGGAAAGACCUUCUUCUUUGCAAAAUCACACUAAUAAGGAAAAAAAGGCUCUCUCUCUUAUACCACUCGUUCAAGCUCUCUAGGGUUUCUCUCUCCGGACUGGUAGCCGCAAUUGAGGGCUAUAAGGACCCUUAAAUAGGGCACAAGCCCAAAGAUUUAGGGUUUCUGUCCACAACGCGGACUUGUCGAGUCCACCCAUCGUCUCGUCGAGUCCCUUCAUUAAUCCAAUCAACAAAUCGCGAUCUUACUCGACGAGUCUAGGCGUCAAUUCGUCGAGUCCCUCCUCAUUGUUCAAAAAGAAAUACUCAAAUUGUCAUUCCUGGAAAUCCGGAUGUUAUAAUUCUCCCCCACUUGAAAUAGAUUUCGCCCUCGAAAUCGCUCCUCAAUCACAUAGAUAGAAACCUACACUCGAAAAGCACCACUGAGAGGUUCUCACACCAAAAUGAUACCUUCCUCCAUGAAUACCUGGAUUCGACCAGGAACUCCAAAUUUGGAACAAAACUGGACCUUCUGUCGCUAAAAUACCCCUUUCUGACCUUCCCAGAAUCGAGAAACUCUAGUGGCCUGGCCCGCCACCAGACCGCCCACUCACGCUAUCACCAUGAUAUUCGCUUUUCGAACAUCAAACCUUGGUAACUCACUGCUUCUCUGAUUCUCACAACACAAAAUCCGAAAAUCGGCUACCGAUCACUCAUACCAACGUACCAAAAUAGUCCGAAUCACGCCCCAAAGAACGAAAUGGUUUACAUCCCACCAGGGCUCAUCCAUUGAACUACAAUCAGAAUCCAUCUGAACAAUAAACUUUCAACAUCCUGUUCUCUGACACAAGAGAAUCAUGCUCGCUCAGAAGUCCUCGGACAUCUAAAAUCAUAAGCCUCAGCUGCAUCCCUCGUAUUCCUUUUUAACACUGAGUACCAGGUCUGAUCUCGACUCAACAGUUGACCCCCUAGGGUCAUCCGUUGCAUUAUCCCAACCGUCUCCAUGGUUUCCUUCUAACUAUAACUACAUUGGCCCAAUGUGACACACAAAUACAAAGUUCGCUUAACCUUAAGCGAAUGCUACAUUCCCAACUAGAGAUCGACUCAACCCCGACCUCUGUCAUCUGUUACUCAUCAUUCCAUGCAACUUGCGGUACCUCCUGUACACGAGUAGUGACCCACACAGGUCUAAGACAUCAGAUGACAAACAAUACUCCUCAACAUGGAACCCACCUCAGAAUCCAGAAUCUCAUCUCGCCUAUCAAUGCACCACCAGAGCCAAACUCAAACUCGAGAGUUUGGUCCGACCCAGAGUUGGAACCACCCGUCCCAACGAAGCACUCUACUCAAAACUCAUUUCCCGCAACCCAUGCGUACCUCACUUAUCCCAUUAUUUCGGAUUGCGAUGACCACACCUUACUUAGAACAUGAUGAAUCCCUAUCAUUGAGGAGACCCUGGUCUCGCCCCUGGUCCGACCAACAGGUUCCCAAAAACUCAUAAAUUAGGGCCACCCCAUGCCUAAGACUCUUCUGCGGCAUGCUCAGAUCAAAGAGUACUUUAUCAUGACAACUUCUCGCUGACUAGUGUGUACUACGUCUUCCCGUAGCAUCACAUCAACCUCUCACUGACUGAUGAGUAAUACGGAUUCCCACGGUAUCACCACAACCUCUCACUGACUUGUGAGUACUACGACUUCUCGUAGCAUCACAACAACCUCUGACUAGUGUGUACUACGGCUUCCCGUAGCAUCACAACAACCUCUGACUAGUGAGUACUACGGCUUCCCGUAGCAUCACAACAACCUCUGACUAGUGAGUACUACGGCUUCCCGUAGCAUCACAACAACCUCUGACUAGUGAGUACUACAGCUUCCCGUAGCAUCACAACAAUCACUGACUAGUGAGUACUACGGCUUCCCAUAGCAUCACAACAACCUCUGACUGACUCACAAUCCGCGGAUCAAUCAUAGAUAGGUGCAUGCACUUACUCAAAUUAUGCAUCACUAUAUCUGGCGGCAAUAGUCAUAACAAAACACCCUUCCCUGCUACGAUCCAUAUUCUUGGACAAUCUCACUUGUUGUCAUUAGCCGAAAGGACUCCCACUAGAAUCAUCGAUGCUUGACCUACCAAUUGCCAUCUCCACUCAAGACUCAAAAUUAUCCGAAAUCCAGUGCAUUAAAUUCGGAUACCUCGAUACACCACAUAGGACCUGACGACGUCUCGUCUCAUCCACUGAUCUUCCUGUCCCACAACCUGAAAUUGGUUGUCUAAUCAACUUCUGCCCUUUCCAAGCUGAAUAAUAGCCCCAUCAUUGAACCAGAAUUUCUCAACCGCCGAACUCACCCUACGAGCCAACCAUCUCAAAUUCACCAUUAUGACCUUGAAGAAUUCUCGUUUACCCUAAGGUCUCUGAUCAACGGCCACUUGCCGUGGAGGCACUCAUCCUUUUCAAACAUAACACAUACAUUAUCUCGCUCUGCACCUUGUCUCAAUCACCAACAACCUUGAGCUCAAUGAAUUCGCACCGCCGGUCUCUAUAUCCAGAUCUCAAACCAUUCUUGAUCGAAUCUCUGAUCCCCUCAAGAAAAUACCCAGUUCUCCCCCACUUAGGGUUCGAACCAUCCCCAAUCGGCGAACCGGCAAUCUAUCACAUCGAUUGUUUCCACCAGUAAUCAUCGCACCUACUCUUGGAAGGUGCUACGCAACGCUCGAUGAUCUCCCGACAGAGAUCAAGCAACUCCAAAUGCCCUGAAACUCAAAUGAAAUCCUCAGAACUUCCCACCGUGACUGCCUCUAGUCAUUCAGAAUCUCACACCAUUCCAUCACCGGACCUCCCAACUGUCCAUUAUUAACCCCGACUCUUAGUCUGGAAGUAAUGAUCUACCGUACUCCUCAUCAUCGACUCCUCAACCAACGUUCCAUCACGUCACUUAUCAUAAGAGCAGUAACCAUUUUUCCAAUCUUAAUACCCAUCAAAGACAAUAAGGGCCACCGCCCUGAUAUAAUCCUCUUGAUCGUCCGACGCUGCAGCUAACACAUACCCAACUAUACUCAAUUAGGGUGUAUCCUGGUCCUUGACCAUCUCAGUCCCUACUGACGACCUGUUCAAGCUAUAUCUUUACCUCGCGGCAGACCUACUGCCAUAUAUUCUGGUUGGAGAUCACCAUCCGUGCAAUCCCACAGGGCUCACCCCCAAACUCAAAAACUGAAAUCUCAGCACCUUUUACGUCUCCCACAGGAAACGGAACUAGCACCACUCGGGUCACAGAAAGUGACCUCUCCACUAUCGGCCGGUUGCCCAGCCCAUACCGUAUUCUCGCAUAAUGCACCAUUCCUAAUCAUCCCUGAGUCUUGCGACUCCAAGUGGCAUAUCACCCACAAUCCCUCAGAGCUCACUCGAUUUCCCUUUUCAAGGGAUGCUCCACUAAAACUUGUUCAUCAAGGCCUUCUGGCCCUAUACUCAUUCACCUCUGAUCUCAUUCUAGACAAUCCCCACGGAAUAACCGGUAAAAACCAGAAAUACUAACCGCCACAUGUCAUGGUACUCAAACCGCGUGUCCACCUCUCGAUCUAUUACAACUCAUGGUACUCGAAUCAUGACGUCACUUCUCAAUCUGUUACUUAUCAUGGUACUCGAACCAUGUCAUCACUUCUCAAUCCGCUACUUAUCAUGGUACUCGAACCAUGACAUCACUUCUCAAUCCGCUACUUAUCAUGGUACUCGAACCAUGUCAUCACUUCUCAAUCUGCUACUUAUCAUGGUAAUCGAACCAUGACAUCACUUCUCAAUCCGCUACUUAUCAUGGUACUCGAACCAUGACAUCACUUCUUCGGAUCAUCGCGGUCAUCUCGUCAUGAAUCAUAUGGUGAAUCUCAUCAUCGCUAACACCGUUGCUCUCCGGUGUGUGUGGUGUACCAACCAUGAUGUCCAUGAAGCACAACACAAAGAUACCAGAGACUCGAUCAAGUAUACUCAGACUCGAUCACCCAACCCUACUUGUUCCUUGGUAUCCUAAGGAUUCUUACUUGGACUGCUCGCUGAUCCGGUGUCUUCAGUAGUACGGGCCCUAUACUACCGUACACACCGCAUCAGUAUUCACCUCAAAUCCUCCUCCUAGGAUCCCAGGUCACAAGUAAUCUAUAUCUCGCUAGCAUAGGCUACCCUUCGGUAGACCUCUCAUAAGCUCCUCACUGCUACCUAUUCACUCUCAAGCAUCUUAUAGCAACAGAUAUCUUCCUAGGCUAAGGCAUCGUAAAUUAGGCCACUCUAGUCCUAAUAUGAAUACCUAGCCUACUCUAGCAUGCAUAACAUAUCAUAACAUAUCUCAUAACACAUAAUGUAAGGGUAUCUUGGGAAAUCACCGUUCGGGCACUGGCUGAUCGUACACAUUGCUUCUUUCUGCUUUUCUCAAAGUUUUUUACUCUUUUAGAAAAAUUGGUCCAUUUUAUGAAAAACUUUCAGAAAUCCUCAGUUUGAGUUCAGAUACGCCUGAAGGUGCAUCCGAAUCCCUGAAACCAAGGCUCUGAUACCAACUUGUAACAACAUAAAUUUCCAAAACAAUUUUUCAUUUUUGAAACAUACUUUUAUUCAUAAGAUACUAUCAUAACAUAACGUAUCCAAUGAUAUCAUAACAAAACAUAUCCCAGAAUCUCAAGACAUAAACUUCAUGAGUGUGUACGGAUCAUGUCGGCGCCUUCCCGCGAUCCUCGCUAGUACCUGAGACACAUAACACAACAACUGUUAGCAUAAAUGCUUAGUGAGUUCCCUAGAAUACCACACACGCACAUACGUCACUCAAGGCUAUAAGACCUUCUGGUCACUGUGUCUCAGAGGACUUGCGUCCCACAACCCUGGUAGACCUUCCGGCCCUACCCGUAAUGACCUUUCGGUCCAUAUCAUCCUGACCUUCCGGUCCACAUCAUGAUGACCUUCCAGUCCUUAUCAUUCAUAGCAUACAUAACACAUACAUAUCAUAUAACAGCAUAUAGCACACACAUCUCAUAGCAUAUAAGACCUUCCGGUCACACAUUGGUACCACUCUAGGUACAGUAUAGUGACAAGACUCACCUCGUAUGAAGUCGGAUAAACUCUCGUGCUUGACUUCCCGACCUAGCCUCCUCCUAUCAUACGAAUAACAUUCCUGAUCAAUACCCUCUCAUAGCCUCAUCUCUAAAGAUUGGGUAGAAGGCCAUACUACCCCUCCCUGAACUCUCCUGAAUCAGCUUGACCAAAACCCUAAGGUUAACUGAAGUCAAUGUUCAAACUUUGACCCGACUCGUCGAGUGCACAUGGGCGACUCGGCGAGUCCAUGCGGGUCCUCAGAAUCCUUCUAGCCUCACUUGGCAAUUCAAGUCAUCCCUUCACUCGACGGGUUACACCUGUCAAGAAUCGCAGGGUAAACCCGACUCGACUCCUCGAGUCCACUUAUGAACUCGGCGAGUAGCGUCCAUGGCAACACUCAAAUGACCUUCUGAGGUCAGAUAUGCUUCUCGAACCUAUAGAUCUGCCCUUCCCAUUUACAAUAAUUACGUAAAGGUCCGACCUUUACACUCAUGCAACACACAUAGGGCUCUCUUUGGUGAAAUCAUCUCUAAAAAGGAAACCUAAGAUCAUUUCUUCCAUGGAACAACAUAAAGUAGAUUGGAUAAGGCUCUUUGGACCUCUAAAGGUCUAGAUCCAAAGUCUAACACUCAAAGGAACAAUAUACUCAUCAUUUCAAGCCAAUAAAAAGGGUAUAGAAAACCCUAAAUUCAAGGAUCUCAUACUAAACAGAAGAAGGGAUCGAUUUACUACCUCAAAGUUGCAGAUCUAAGCUGGAAAUCCACAGAAUAGCAAUCCCCUUGACCUUAUCCGCUUCAUUAAUCCAGUCAGCAAAUCGCGAUCCUACUCGACGAGUCUAGGCGUCAACUCGUCGAGUCCCUCCUCAUAGUUCAAAAAGAAAUACUCAAAUUGUCAUGGUUGGAAAUCCGGAUGUUACAAUUCUCCCCAACUUAAAAUAGAUUUCGCCCUCAAAAUUGCUCCUAAAUCACAUAGAUAGAAACCAACACUCGAAAAGCACCACUGAGAGGUUCUCACACCAAAAUGAUACCUUCCUCCAUGAAUACCUUGAUCUGACCAGGAACUCCAAAUUCGAAACAAAACCGGCCCCUCUGUCAUUAAAAUACCCCUUUCUGACAUUCCCAGAAUCGGGAAACUUUAGUGGCUUGGCCCGCCGCCAGACCGCCCACUCACGCUAUCACCAUGAUAUUCGCUCUUUGAACAUCAAACCCUGGUAACUCACUGCUCCUCUGAUUCUUACAAGACAAAAUCCGACAAUUGGCUACCGAUCACUCAUACCAACGUACCAAAACAGUCCGAAUCACGCCCCAAAGAACGAAAGGGUUUACAUCCCACCAGGGCUCAUCCACUGAACUACUAUCAGAAUACAUCCGAACAAUAAACUUUUAACAUCCUGUUCUCUGACACAAGAGAAUCAUGCUCGCUCAGAAGUCCUCGGAUAUCUAAAAUCAUAAGCCUCAGCUGCAUCCCUCGUAUCCCUUUUUAACACUGAGUACCAGGUCUGGUCUCCACUCAACAGUUAACCCCCUAGUGUCAUCCUUUGCAUUAUCCCAACCGUCUCCAUGGUUUCCUUCUAACUAUAACCACAUCGGCCCAAUGUGACACACAAGUACGAAGUUCGCUUAACCCUAAGCGCAUGCUACCUUCCCAACUGGAGAUUGACUCAACCCCGACCUCUGUCAUUUGUUACUCAUCGUUCCAUGUAACUUGCGGUAACUCCCGUACCCGAGUACCGACCCACACAGGUCUAAGAUAUCAGAUGACAAACAAUACUCCUCAACAUGGAACCCACCUCAGAAUCUAGAAUCUCAUCUUGCCUAUCAAUGCACCACUAGAGCCAAACUCAAACUCGAGAGUUUGGUCCGAACCAGAGUUGGAACCACUCGUCCCAACAAAGCACUCAACUCAAAACUCAUUUUUCGCAACCCAUGCGUACCUCACUUAUCCCAUUCUUUCGGAUUGCGAUGACCACAGCUUACUCAGAACAUGAUGACUCCUCAUAAAAUAAAACUAGUUGUUAGCCUUUGAAAACUACAAUUAAGGUUAUCAAAAACUUCCAACCAUACUAAUAAAAUAUUAUUUAAAAGAAAACAUUAGCGGAAGCAAAAACAUCCCAACUUUAAAUACAUAAAAUAUUUUAUAUAAGUUUUCAAGAGAAUAUCGUCUGCAGUUACACUGGUCUCCAUUCUUUAUUAAAACUUGAUGAUCCUGAAAUAUGUUAAAUAACAACGGGUAAGCAUAACGCUUAGUGAGCAUACACAUUACUCUACCAUUAUCUAUAUCACUUACUUACACAUAACAUAUAUCACAUAAAACAUAACAUAACAUAAACAUUCCUAGCACAUAUUGUUGGUACCAACCAUAACAUUGUUCCCCCUUUUGGGAACUACCCCCUUACCCCCUGAAUAGGGAAUAAGAGAUAAGAGUGCAGUUUUCCUCAUUAGAGGUCUAAGCACAUUCUACCUUACUUUGUUCACUCUACCGGAUUAGGGUAUCCGUGAACAAAACAUGAAACAAGUAAUGCCUACAUAAUGGGAGAUUUAGUGUAACUCACCUCCCUUGGUAACUUGAAAUACUCUAUUUGCAAUAUCCAAGUGAACUUCCUUCUUUUUGAACACCUACACAACAAUUAUAACACUUAUUUAACUUGUACUUCAUAACUAUACCUUCAAAUACGUUACUUUGCGUUACUUUAACUUUUCUUUGAUUUUAGUGUUCUGUUCGGGAUCUGAUUUCUUAACUUUAAAUCCAUAACGAAGUUUUGAUAAAAUUGUAUUCAUAUAGAUACCUCUUUUAGCUUUCCGGUAAUAUAAGAAUGUCAUCCUAACGAUUUUUUGUUGAUUUUAUAUUAAUUUUACAAGUUAGCUGAUGAGUUGAAAAACUCUUUGAUCGUUUAGAUCUUACACAGGUUAAUCAGAAUAAUGCAUACAAAAUAACAAACAAGAGAAUAAAUCAAUAAAGAGCUGAAUGAUUCAAUAGAUUCAAGCCUCAGCAGAGCUCGAUGAAGAACUUCCACUGUAGAGGCUUUUAGGGUUACAAUGGAUAAAAUUAUUAUCGCUAUGAAUGAUAGACUACAACAACUACGUACAAAGAUGCAUGCAAGCAUCUAUAAAUACUAAACCCUAAUAAUUAAAUCACGGAUGGACAAGCCCAAUCUGGAUACAUAAUUGGACUAUGGACCGAGUCGAAGACGCAACACAUAAUGGACAAUACAAUCUCCCCCUUUGCGUCAAUUGGGGCGAGACUCUACUUUGGCUUACUGGAUCCUGCUGCAGUAACCUUCUUCGUGGUAUCGAACAGGCAAGGAAUGAUGGCAAGAAUAGUUUGUCUGAAACGAAUAUACCAGUGGAUCAUGUCAUUGAAGUACUUCUUAUCAUCUUCAGAAUUUCGCUUACACCGAUUGAUGAUCCCCAGAACAUGCUCCAAAUACGAAGUGGUAUAAAGAUGUUUGUCAGCUAAGGCGAACAGACAUUUUUGGCCUUCAUUCCUGGUGAACAUAACUGAGUUUCGUUUUGGAUCGAUCCUCCCCAUCUGCAUUUUAUUCAGAUCACUUGCAGAACCAAUUGGGGAGAUGGUGGGCUUCUUCCUGAAUACAUUAGCAACUUCCUGAUCCAUCUUAGUAACCUCCAUGAUAUAACAAACCAACAUCCUCUUGAAGUGAUCUAUGAUCGGUCCAUAUUCAGCUUCAUUGGUGAGGAGGAUGUUAUACAAGAUGAUCCAAUCGUGAGGAUUCAUGUUAGGAAGAUCACCAAGAGAAAUGACAUGUUCGACUUUAUUUGACCCCCUCAAUACUUUGAAUCUGACGUUCGUGAAGUUACCCUCCCAAAAGGGUUUGAGGACCCAACCGUUGACGAUCUUCUAUGCACUCCACGUCUGAUACUAAGUCUGAGCAAACCUCAGAUAGAAAUCAAUAAGUUCCCUAUCGACCUUCGGGUGAGGAUGAGGGACUUCAGCAAUGUGGGGAAAUGCAUGAAAUAUAAAAGCCAUUCGGGUCAAGGGCAUGUCGAACUGAGAGUUAACAGAAUUAACCAUGUCCAAAGAGAUCACAGGUUCAAGCCAGAGGAUGCUGGGGGACUCGAUUGCUUCUUUAAUAAGCUUCUCAAGAGUCCAUGGAGGGAAUAGGGUUUUUUGACUUUCAAGGAGAUCAUGAGCCUCCUUCAUCCUCCUUUCAUUUGCUUCGGCCUCCCUAGCGAUCCGAGCACUCAAGUCUGGUUCCUUGUCCCUGGCCUGUUUCUUCCAGAUAUUAGCAAUGGUUUCUUUGUCUUCGUCUCCAUCACUGUCAUCGAGAACCUUUUUGCCUUUGUCUUGAGCACCCGAACCUGAUGCAUGACCAGUUGUUGGUGGUUUGGUUGCUUUAGUUGGAGCUGAUGAAGAAUUAGGAGGGGGGUGAGAUUGAGCUGUGGAGACAGGAGGAGGUUGAGAUUUAUUACUGCCCUUUGAAGCUCCUUCUCCCCCUUGUUUUGGAUGGACCACUUGCUCAGGAAGCCCCUCAAUUUUGCUGAGUAAGGCGAGGGCAGGAGCAAGUUUCUCAGCAAGAGUUCGCCUGACUGAGUAGUUGAGAAUCGGUUCAUGCGCUUCAAUGAUGUUUGAGAGGGCUCCGUGGACAUCCGAAACACAACUCGAAAUCACGGCACGCUCAGAUCAAAGAGAAUUAACCUCCUUCUCAGUUUGGGAAAGCUGAAGACUCUUGAUUUUUAGUGCAGUUGUUUUGCGUGCAAGCGCAUCCAUCACCGAGUUUUCCGUGGCAAGGUCUUCUUGGAGCUUGGUCAAGCGAUCCUCAACGGCUGCUUGGAAGGAUUUGUUGUCAGCUUCAAGGGUCUGACGAAGACUGGCAAAGUGGUGCUUUUCUGUUUCAAAGGAGGUAGCCAGCUUCUCAACAACCGAAUUGACCUUCGAUGCAUUAGAUUCAGCUACCCCCUGCAAAGACUCCAAAAAGGUGUUAGCAUCUCGAAAUAGUUUUUCGACUUUUUCGGUCGCAGCAACACAGGACUUUGUGGAUGCAUCUAUAGCAACAGUAGCAGAGUUGAUAGAGGCUUCGUGUGCAUUGGUGAAAGUAUCAACCAUCCCCUAAAUGGCAGCUUCUGUGAUAUGGGACUAGAGGAGGAGGAAGAAGCGACGAGAUUAUCAAUUUUCUCAUGAAGUUCCUUGAUGUGCUUUUUGGUGACAGGUGCAUCAUCAUUAUCAUCGCUUUGAACCUGGUAGGGACUGUAGUAAACAGAAUCGAAGGUCAUAUCUUCCCCUCCUAGAAAUGUCUCGGUUUCGGCUGAGUGAUUGGGAGAUGAAGGCGAUGGUGGAGGUUCGGUUGUGGGAGUAGGUUCGGGUGUGGAAGUAUGUUUGGUUGCAGGUGUGUGUUCGGGUGCUGAAGUACGAGCCCCUGUAUCAGAUACGUUGGUUCGAACUCCAGUGGUUGUUGUUUUUGUAGUGCCUGAGAAAAUGGGAGGUGGUACAGGAAUAGAAGUGGGUGGAAUAUGAGUGGAGGAAGUUAUGGGAGGAAUGGAAAUGGUGACAGUGAUAGGGGGAGAAGAGACAGGUUUGGUUGUAAUGGGUACCUCAUGUGAAGGCGAACGGGGAGGAGAGUCGCCUCGAAACGACUCCUCUAAGUUUGAACUUUCAUCCUCUGUUUCACUUGAGGAAGAAGUAAGAAUGAGUUUUCGUUUAGUUUGGGUUUUCCUCUUCUUCGGUGGAGGUGAUUGGGCUGCCUUUGUUGAUUUUCUCUUUUUAGGAGAAGGGCCUUUCGCCCCUUUGACCACUUUCUUGUCUUUCCCUUUCUCUGGUUUCUUACCCCUGGGAGCAGGUUUGUCAGCAUCGUUGAUGGACUAAAGCAUCUUUGGAGUCAGCUCUCUGGGACCCGAUGGAAGAAACUCUUGUAGGUCUUGAUGAUGCGGCUCUCCCCUGAUACACAAGCGUACAUGGACUCAGGAAUUGAGCCAACAAAGAGAAACUUAGAAGGAUCAGUGACGAUGAUCUUUGUAGUGUGGAAAAUGCCAAUCGAGGAGAGUGGAGAAGUGGCCAAUAUGGGGACAUGAUACUUCUCCAUUGCCCAUUUGGUGACGAGCGUCCAAAACCUGGCAUAGGAUAUUUCAGUGUGUCGAGAAGUAGAGGCGAGGCUUUGGAUCAACUGCUGCCAUAGAACUGAGCCAUAGUCGAGGUUGAUCCCAUUGUACAACCCACAAAGAAUCGUGAUGAACAAAUGAAUGGCCCCAUCAUAACCUGCACUCCUCUCAGAUAAACCUUUGAACAAUAUCAUGAAAAAGCCAUUCCAUUGUGGAGGAAGACAAGACUUCUUGAACUUUGUGACAGUGGUAAGGAUUUCAGUGUAACCCAUGUUGUAAAACAUGGAGAAUAAUUGACCCACAAAGAUCGAAUCAGGGUUAAUCCUCGAUUCAUCAGGUUCAAACCCUAGAAGCGAGCAAAAUCGCUGCUUUGAGAUGGAGGUUUUGGUAUCAAGGAUGUCGAAGUAGAUGCGAUCAACAGAUUUAUCGUAGUGAGCUAUGGAGAAAAUUUGGGAUAGACAUUCCAUAGGCACAGUUUCGACCUUGGACAGUGCGAGAACCAGUGGAGAGUAUUUGAGACACUCCACUAUGGGAUACAUGAAGGCAUCAUAGGAAACUGGGUUGAGAUCAAUGACCAAGCUUUGUUGGGGUCUGAUUGGGAGAAUGUUGGAGGUUUCAUGAACAGAGGAGGAAUCCACCAUUGUUGAGUUCUUCAAAGAAGAAGAUGAACAGUGGGAGAAAAUCGUCUUUGUUUGCUCUCAGAAAUUUGGGUGCAGUAAAGAGGUAAAACAACUAGGGUUUAACCCUUUAUACCGUGUAUAGAGGUGAGAGAAAAAUUCGCCCCCAAAUCCUCUUGAAACGUGAAUCGGCUCCUAAGUUGAUUGAAGCGUGACAGUUGGCAACCCCGAUGAUCACGUAUGAGAGAGAAAAACGUUUCCAUUUAGCACGCCUUCCCAUCAAAUACCUUUUUGAAUACUUGAAACCCUUAGUCUCCUGGCUGAGUCAUCAUCUUAUCUUUAAAAUGAGUUGUCGUCAUUAAAUAAAAAGAAACACUUAGAAAAACCACAACAUCCCCUUGUGAAUAUAGUAUUAAGAACUGGAGCUACAUAAAGAAAAGUGGCUUGUAGUGAACCAUACCAGACUUUUGGAAAAUCAAAAAGAUUUUCAUGCAUAGAGUGUCAAAGAUGAAGAAAUAAAGCAACAUCUAUGUGGAAAUUUGUGAUGUCAAUAUAGACAUGAAACAGUGGAUCCCGGGCACGAAUCUCUUCCUUCAAAGUCAAGAGAGACUUUAAGGUGUCUGUGUGGAUUCCCGUUGAAUUACGAUCAAGCACUUGUUAAGAAGUGUUGAAAGGCAUCUUUUGAUGAGGCUUAGAAGGGUGGCUUUCGCUUCAGUUCAGAAUUCCGGAUCUUGACAUAAGAUAGAAACCGAAUGAAGUACUUGUGAGACCAAUGUGGUCUGUUGAACAAGUAGGUUUGGACAAUAUUUAGUGACUUGUUGGAAAUGUUUGGUGUGAAAUCUCAAAAACAAUUUAAAACUGGAUUCUAUGGGAAGAAAUGUUAUGGUGUGUAGCAAUUUCAUAAGAAUCACACAAAAAGAAAAAUAGAGAUUUCAGGGUACAACCAGUUCGGUGGUUUCGUCAAUUCAUGGGUGAAAGCUAGAGGAAAUUUAAUUGUUCACCGUCAAUGCAUAGUGGGUAUUGAAUUUUGGGUUUCACUUAGCACGUAGUGACACGAAGCUAAGAUCAUAAACACAGAGAUUGUGUAACCAUAAACCUCAGUGGUUAAUUCUGAGAGUCUCAAGGGUUAUUUAUGAACCGAAAUAUGAUGGAGAAAAGUGUUUAAGGUGUUGUAAAGAAACCAAAGUACCUCUGCGAUAAAAAGAAUGACCAAGCAGAAAACUCUUAACUCAUAUGAGAAAAGAGUAAGGUAGCUCAUGAUUAGAAUAAAUUUAGCAGCCUAAUUGGGAAGACAAUGUUUGUAUAUACCGAGUCAAUAAGGCUUUAUUCAAAAUCAGUUGAGGCUUUGGACAACAUGCAGCAGCAUGCUUCUAGGGACACUUAGCUAGUAUAAAGUGUGAGAAUGAUACCUACCCCAUCUAUAUUCCAUAAACGGUUUACAUAAAAAGAAGUAGAGACAAAAGAAAGAAAAUAUUUCUGAAAUUUUGAUAUGUUUGUAAAGAAAGAAAAAAAAAAACAAAACAAACGAAACAAAUUUUUUUUUUGAACCGAACCAGAAAUGGACUGAACGCUCGGUUCAUUUCGGUUCCCAAAAAAAAUAUAUUUUUGGAAUUUUGGAAAACAAUUGUACAUAAGUAUACAACCAAAGACAUCACCUUUUUGAGAUAAGUGAAAAGAAGUGUAGUGGGACCAAACCCGAAAUAGACCGAGAGUUCCGUUCAUUUUGGUUCCCGUGUGAACCGAGCCCGAAAUAGACCGAGCGUUCGGUUCAUUUCGCUUCCAACUUUUAGUUUUUAGAAGGUGUUUUUGGUACUGACUCCGAUUCCAUCAUACCUAGGCCUUGUGGGAUUUUAUUGAAACUUGCUUCAGGAAGGGCUUUGGUGAAGAUGUCGGCCAGUUGAUCAGUGGUUCGAACAAAGUGAAUUUUGACGUUUCCAUCUUCCACAUGAUCCUUAAUAAAGUGAUACCUUAGUGUUAUAUGCUUGGUCUUGGAAUGUUGCACUGGGUUAUGACAGAUCCUAAUUGCACUUUCUGAGUCGCAAUAUAGUGGGAUCUUUUUCAUAUUGAGUCCAUAAUCCCGGAGUUGGCUUUGGAUCCAAAUCACUUGUGAUGUGCAGGAGGCGGCUGCAAUGUACUCUGCCUCAGCUGUAGAAAGAGAAACACAUGUUUGUUUCUUCGAUUGCCAGCUAACCAGCUUCCCGUCUAGGAAUUGGCAGCCUCCUGUGGUGCUUUUUCGGUCUAGACCACAUCCUCCUAAGUCUGCAUCUGAGUAGGCUUGAACGAAGAAACUUGUGUUUGAGGGAUACCAGAGACCGAGAGAGGAGGUUCGCUUCAAAUACCGGAAUAUAUUCUUCACUGCCAGCAUGUGUGGUUCCCGAGGAUUUGCUUGAAACCUGGCACAAUAACAUACUGAAAACAUUGUGUCGGGCCUGGUAGCUGUGAGAUACAUCAGGGAACCAAUCAUUUGGCGAUAUAGUGUUAUGUCGACUGCCGGUUUUUCCAAACAUGGUGUGAGCUUGAUUCCGAACGCCAUAGGGACUUUGACUUUUGAGUCUCCCAUCAUGCCGAAUUUGGCAAAGAGAGUCUUAGUGUAUGGUUCCUGGUUGAUAAAGAUGCCUUCGGGUCCCUGUCUAAUAUUCAAACCAAGAAAAAAGUUAAUCAGACCCAUUGAGCUCAUUUCAAAUUUAGUCUCCAUCAAAUUCCUGAAUUCAGCUAUUAGGCUAGGAUUCGUGGAGCCGAAGAUGAUAUCGUCGACAUAGAUUUGAACAAUCAUAAGGUGGUUACCUUCCUUUUUACAAAAGAAGGUUGGGUCAACCGAACCUUGUUUGAAUUUAGACAUCUUUAAAAACUUAGUUAAUGUUUCAUACCAUGCCCUAGGAUCUUGUUUCAGACCAUAAACUGCCUUAUCCAAGAUGUAGCAGUGAUUUGGAUGCUUUUCAUUUACAAAACCAGGAGGUUGCUCCACGUACACGGUUUCUUCAAGUUCCCCAUUCAGAAAGGCACACUUCACAUCCAUAUGGUAGACCUCGAAAUUCUUGUGUAGAGCAUAGGCAAGAAAUAUUCGAACGGAUUCCAGCCUUGCAACCGGAGCAAAUGUCUCUUCGUAAUCGAUUCCUUCUUCCUGGCAAUAUCCUUUCACCACUAGCCGAGCCUUAUUUCGGAUCACAUUUCCCCCCUUGUCCAUUUUGUUUCUGAACACCCAUUUUAGACCGACAAAUGGUAGACCUCGAAAUUCUUGUGUAGAGCAUAGGCAAGAAAUAUUCGAACGGAUUCCAGCCUUGCAACCGGAGCAAAUGUCUCUUCGUAAUCGAUUCCUUCUUCCUGGCAAUAUCCUUUCACCACUAGCCGAGCCUUAUUUCGGAUCACAUUUCCCCCCUUGUCCAUUUUGUUUCUGAACACCCAUUUUAGACCGACAACCGAGGCAUCUUUUGGUGUUGGAAUGAGUCUCUAGACCUUAUUUCUUUUGAACUCAUUGAGUUCGUCUUGCAUUGCCUGAACCCAAUCAGAAUGAUCGAGAGCAAUAUUUAUGGUCUUCGGCUCUAUUUUGGAGAUGAAUGAAUUAAACAUGCAGAAUUCUACUUUGGAGAAUAGAGCAGUUUGCUUCGCCUUCAGUUGUGAUCGAGUUAGAACCUUUUCUGAUGCAUCACCCACUAUUUGAGAUACAGGAUGAUCUCUGGUCCAUUUGGUGAGAGGAGGAUAAUUUGGAUCAUAGGAUGGAUCCAAUUCAGCAUUUACCAUUUCUUCCAACUCUGAUUGAAUAUCAUCAUCAUAGUGCAUAUUGGAAUUCUCCCCCUCGACAGAUGAUGAAUCGUUUGGAUGUGAACCAAAAAGUCUUUCUUCGACUGGGCUUUCGCGCCUGAUCCGGACUUUCGGUUGCAACAGGACUUUCGGGUUGUUCCGGACUUUCGGUUGCUACAGGACUUUCGGGUGCAAUUGGGUUUUUGGUUCUGGAUGGGCUUUCGGUUCUGACAAAGAUUGGAUUCUUCCCCUUGCCAUGAGUAUUAUCGUCGAUUGAAAAUGAUGGACCCUCCCCCUGGAAAUGUGAGUCCUGUCGAUCUGAAGAGAAUUGAUUCUCCCCCUCGACCAAAUUAUUGCUCAGAGGAGGUUCAUUUCGAACUGGUUCUUCUUCUCCCAUUUGUUUGGCUGCGUCUUCGAUAAUCUUCUUAAGGUGAUCCCUCUCGUUGUCUGCUGCCGUGGCCUCAGAGUGAGUAGCCUUCUCAGGUUCAUCAAAUAAAUCCAUGAACUGGUCAAAGAAAUUGGCGAUUGAGGCUGUGACUUGACCUGUUUGAGAGAAAAUCUCUCCAAUUGCUUCUUCGGUAGACUUCAACUUCUUGACGUAAUUGUCAUCGAACGUUACAUAAUAGGUUUCUUCAAUUCGUUUAGAAUGCUUAUUCAAAACCCUGUACGCCUUUGAAGUAAGAGAAUAUCCCAGAAAGAUGCCUUCAUCGACUUUGACAUCGAAUUUGUUGCGAUGCUCUUUGGAGUUGAAAAUGAAGCACCUCGAACCGAACACAUGAAAGAACUUGACAUUCGGCUUCCUAUUGUUAAUAAUCUCAUAGGGGUGAGAGAGAAAUGCUUGUUGAGAUAAGAUCGGUUUUGAGUGAAACAAGUUGCGGCAAUGGCGUCUGCCCAGAAAUAUAGAGGAAGGGAGGCAAAACUUAGCAUGGUUCGGGCCGCCUCACACAGGGAUUGGUUUCGCCUUUCGAAAAUUCCGUUCUGUUGAGGUGUAUAGGGGGCUGAGAAAUUGUGACUGGUGCCUUUUUCUGCUAAGAAAUCUUCGAAUUCUUUGUUCUUGAAUUCCAGUCCAUUGUCGCUCCUGAUGUUUCGAAAUACUUUUCUCAAUUGCACUUCAAACUGCUUGAAAAAGAUCUUCAGCUUGGGAGUCGCCUCAGAUUUGUGCUUUAGAAAGAAUACCCAAGUGAAUCGUGAGAAGUCAUCAACAAUAACAAGGAUGUACUUGUUACCGCCAAUGCUCUCGAUUGAUGAUGGACCACAUAAGUCGAUGUGAAGCAACUCAAGUGGUUCAACAACUUUGGUGUUUAUGAUUGUUGGGUGACUUUGGCGACUUUGUUUCCCCAUUUCACAUGCAACACAUAAGUGUUCUCGAUCGAACUUAAGCAGUGGAAGUCCCCGAACAUGACCACCGAUGACUAGCUUGUUGAUGUCUUUGAAGUUGAGGUGUGAGAGCCUUCUGUGCCACAACCAACUUUCGUCUGAAUGGGCUUUGGACAAUAGACAUAUGGCUGGAUUCCCUUUGAUUGGGUUGAGAUUCAGAGGGAACAUUUCACCUUUUCGUUCUGACUUGAGAAUAACUUUUUUGGAUUUCUUCUCUAUUAUCUCUGAACCUUCGUUCGAACGAGACUUUGAGUCCUGUACCUCCCACCAGUUGAGACACACUGAUGAGGUUAUGCUACAACCCCUCUACAUAAGCCAUCUUCCUGAUUGUAAAGUCUCCAUUGGUUAUCAUCCCAUAACGCUUUAUUGUUCCAUAGGAAUUGUUAUCAAACUUGACGUUACCACCGUUUUGAAGGGACCGAAACUCCCUUAACUCUUCCUUCCUUCUUUUCAUAUGACGUGAGCAGCCACUGUCUAUGUACCAUUCUUCGUCGAACUGCUCGUCACUUAUAACCUGCAAAAAUUAAGCAGAUUUAGGAACCCAAAGUCUCUUGGGUCCUUGUGAGCCUUUUACAGAAACAGGAAUAGUAAGAGAAACAUCAACAUGAUAAGUUCUUUUUAUUAAGGUUGUUUCAUCUUUCCUCUUAUUAGUAAACACUUUGAUUUUAUUGGAGUUAGAUGCAGGUAUUUUGGAUUUAAGUUCGGGAGUUUGGAAUUUAGCUUGCUUUCGGUCUUCAUCUGCUGAGGAAAUCUUACCUUUUCCUUUCAAAUCCUUCUUCAAGUGUGAGCAUGGUGUAGGAAGAGAGUUAGGCUUAGAAGGAGGAUGAGAACGAGAAGAAUUAGAGGAAUAGAAAUUAGAAUGAGAAUCUUUCCUGGCUUGAGGUUCAAAAUGACCCUUUCGGUUGUGAUCAUUUGAGGGACCGAACUUGGACCUUCGGUUGCUAUUUGUUGAUGGACCAAAACGGGCUUUUCGGUUGUUGUGGGUUGCUGGACCGAAACUGGGCCUUCUGCUGUAAAAGCAUGAUGGACUGAACUCUGGUCUUUGUUUGUUGUUGUUUGGUGGACCGAAACCAGGCUUUCAGUUGUUGUUACUUUCGGGACCGAACUUAUCUUUCCGGUUUUGUUCUUUCUGUGGCCCGAAAGUCUUCUUCUGGUUCUUUUGAUCCAAUGGACCGAAGCUCCUUUUACUCUUAUUUUCUUCUCCUUUUGGCCUGGAGUCUUUAUCUAAGUGAGUAUAGUGAGGAUUUUGGGAGCGCCAAAAUUGCUUUCGCUCUGAGAGAUUUUUCUUGUAUCUCAGAUUUCUCUGCUGCUUUUGAUUUUUCACCUGUUUCGGUUGUCUAUGAAUAUUUGCCUUUUGAUUUGGUUUCUGAACAACUGGCUCACUUUCCAUGGAAGAGGUUUCGCUUGUUGAGGAGAUGCAUUCUACCGGAACCUCUUUUGUGCCACUGGAACUGGGCACGUCAAAGUUGGUAGGUUUAUUGAGUGGUUCUGCCACAUAUCUACCUCUGACCUUCCAUGAUGUUCGCUCCGAUAAACCAACUGUUUCAUUAGCGUUGUCUAUCGGUGCAGACCAGAAAAACUCAUCACAGCCAUCUACAUUAUCUUCAUUCACCAUUGUAGUGAGUUCGGCUGUCUGAUGUUCGGUUACUCCUAUGACCUUAUACACCUGAUUCGGAGUGGUUCUUACUUUUUGGUAUACAACGUCCUUUUCUUUAAGGAUUGGGGACUUAUUUUUGGAUUGAUGAGCGAGUUCCAUAGAAUUUUCAGAAAUCAAGUUUUUGUGGUUUUCAGGUUCGCUCCUAAUAAACUCUGAACAGUCAACCUCAACCUCUACAGAGAUUUCGCUCAUGUCAUCGUCCUCAUUAAGUUCAGAUGCAUUUUCAACAUCAAUUUUAUUUUCUGAACUUAAUUUGGUACUCAAUGAGUCAAAUUUUUGUAUAGUUUCGGCUCUGAGUUUCAACCUAUCAUUUUCAUCCAAAAGAUUCUUAAGCAUGUCCUUAUGGUCUUUGGACUUUAUAAACGAUUCAAUUUUGUCCAGACCAAACAUAUAAGUGGGAUUUACAUCAUCUGAAGAUACAACACUUUCAGAUUUGUAUGCUUCGGCAUUGAUUUCAACCUCCUUUAGCUCAAGGAAGGGCAAAAUCAUACGAUGUAUUUUCUGGCCUAUUUCACAGUCUAAAUGCAGUUGUGUAAUGUUAGUAUAAAGUCUUUUUGCAAUCAAACAAAAAACAUUUCUCUGUUUUAACAACUUAAGAUUGUCUCUUUGCAAAUAGAUAUUUUCAUCCCUAGAUUUAACCAGCUCCAACUCCUUCUGCUCAAUCCACAUUCUUCGUUCCUCACUCUUGGAUGAUACCCUGCUUAUUUGGUAAGUCAGAUUAGAAUUCAUGACACGUCUUUGAGUUAAACAACUAUCUAGAUUUGAAAUUCUUGAAUCCAAGUUAUUUAAUUCUUUUUCAUAUGAUGUUUGUGGAAUUUUAAACGAAACAAAAAUGGAUUGUACCUUCUUGAUUAGUUCAUCUAGUUCAAUGAUCUGCACAUUGAGAGGCUUCGCUGUAAAGCACACGUCCUCUAGCUCCUUAGCCACUUCGUUUCCACCAUCAAUGUUGUAUCCCCUCAUCCGGGAUACAUCUGUCACCAUCAAACAUCUUCCACUAGCAUCACCACUCUUCGCCACAUAAGCCUUUCCAUGAAUAGGUUUUCUUACUUCAUCAUCUUCUGAGUCGGUCGACCACACCUGUACACCAACGAACUCAUCAUCAUCUACCGAAUCCUGCACAACAAGAGCAUUCAUAGAGGGAUUAGUAGUAGCUUUCUUCCAUUUAAUCUCCUCUAGUCUUUUCAGGAGACUUGCUUCUUCAUCCUUCUCCUCAUCUUUCUCUGCCAUUUUCUUACGCAAUCUUUUGCAUAGUGAUUUUUCCCUCCACAGUAAAAACAGCUGACACCAGAAUCAGCUUCACCCUUCACUUCUUUCUUUGGUUCUUCAACCUUCGGCUCCUCUUUCGCUUUUUCAGAGCUGUAGCUUCCCUGCUAAUUUUGGUUCUUGUUGGUAGGGAACUUCUUCUUGAUGAACCUCCUGGGAUUUGACACCAUCAUUGCAUAAUCUUCAGAUGUCAGAUCGUAGUCUCCCAGAUUCAGAUCUUCUUCUUCUUCUGCUGCACUCUUACCUUUAGACAGAAGGGCCAAAGACCCCAAGUUUGAAACCACGCUCUUCUCUUGUAGCACAAUAUUUUCCUGGGAUUUCAGAAUCCCCACCAGUUUCGCCAAAGAAUAUGAUUUGAACUGCUCAUGCGCUUUAACCGUCGACACAACCGCCCUCCAUUCGGGUCUUAGGCCAUUUAAGAAACUGACCUUCUGUUCGAUAAGCUUUCUUUCUAUGUCAUGUUUGAUCAUCUUACUGAGAAGAUGAUUGAACCCAUCGAACGUUUGUGUAACAACCUCCUCUGGCUUCUGCUUGAACUCUCCAAAUUCAGAGAGAAGUAGGGUCUGAAUCAAGUGCUCCAGAUCUUCAUCUGUGGAAUACAACUCUCGCAGCCGAGCCCAGAUUUCCUUUGCUGUACCACAAGAACUCACUAACCGAAAUGUGUCGGAUUGAAGGGCGAAUUGAAUUAGUCUCAAUGCCUUAAUGUUGCAUUGGAACUUCUCCUUUUCGUCCUGAGCGACGUGCUUCACAUCUUUUAUUAGAUCAUUGUACUCCUUCUGAGUUUUAAUGAUUUUGGAAGUGCUUGAGUGAGCGAAGGGGCCAACUGUGAUAGCUUCCCAUAUCAGAUACCCGUUAUCUUCUGAUCCAAUAACGUAAUCUUCUAAAUGGUGCGUCCACACUUCAUAGUCUUGGGUGUAGAGGAUUGGGAUCUUGGUUGUUGAUCCGAUGCUGUUAGAGAUGUUAAUGGGAUUGGAUUGAGAAUCGUCCAUGCUUGAUCGUUUAACCUAUUAUAAGAUCAUACUUUGUAAUACGUAAUAUUAGGGCAAGAUGAAUAAUUAAUGAGAUAUGUCAAUUAUGGAGUGACGAAUCAAUAAAUAUCAAUGAAUGUGGAAUGAAUCCUAAUCACUUCUUUCACAGAAGAGAUGUGUAUGAAUUACAUAGUCUCCUGCUCUGAUACCAAUUAAUGAGUUGAAAAACUCUUUGAUCGUUUAGAUCUUACACAGGUUAAUCAGAAUAAUGCAAACAGAAUAACAAACAAGAGAAUGAAUCAGUAAAGAGCUGAAUGAUUCAAUAGAUUCAAGCCUCAACAGAUCUCGAUGAAGAACUUCCACUGUAGAGGCUUUUAGGGUUACAAUCGAUAAAAUUAUUAUCGCUAUGAAUGAUACACUGCAACAGCUACGUACAAAGAUGCAUGCAAGCAUCUAUAAAUACUAAACCCUAAUAAUUAAAUCAUGAUGGACAAGUCCAAUCCGGAUACAAAAUUAGACUAUGGACCGAGCCCAAGACGCAACACAUAAUGGACCCUACAUUAGGCAUCUUGACUAGUUACUUUAUGGACUUACAUACAAAUGUGGUAACUUUUACUCUAGGAGGGUUGUGAUUUAAAUCAUAGGAAAGCUUCAUGGUAUACAAUACAUUAUUCACUAACCAUAUCCUUUGACUUUUCGUGAAUUGGAUUUUUGUAGGAUUAAUUAUGCAUAUCACAAUUGAUGUAACAUUUCAAUAGAUUUUUGGACCACUCUUCACUCUUUGAAUAAACCGUACAUCUAUACAAGGAAUGAAAUCAAGCCCUCCAAAUGGAGGAAACUAGACAUUGAUAUCUAACUAUAGGAUUUAGAAUUUUCAUAUUUGGUGUCAAAAUGAAUUUAUUAUGAUUUUUAGAAGACAACACAUGAAAUUUGUGACAGCAUAGACCAUUUAGAGAGGAUUGACCAUUUUACUCUUCAAGGAUUUGGAAUUUAUAAAAGUGAAUAAAAUUUUGAAGAAACUAGACAUAAUAAUCUUUCCAGAAAAGUAAGUCUCAUUAUUUUUUUAGGUGUCCGCAUUGCCUUGAACGGAUUUUAGAAGUUGAAGAGCAGAAUUGGAAAAUAUGUUAUUUUAGCUUUUCAAUCACUUUUGGUGUUUUAUUAAGGACUUAACGGUUAAGCUUAUAGUUUAACAUUUUUAAUACAAUUAUUGAAUACAUAUGAGGUUUCCAAAAUAGACUAAACAACUUUACCCAAAAGUCUUAAUACACGACUUAAUGGAGCAUAAAGUUCGGGCUUAAACAAAAAUUAUAAACUUUUACAUGUCAAACCACCAUAAACAAAAGUAGGUUGCUAAUUUUUGGUUUAACAUAAAAGGAAUAUUAUUUUUUUAUGCAUUUUCUUUUUGGCUUGAGACUUGCAAUGGCAACUAACCCACAACCACUCACUUAUGGUGGUUGUGGUGGCAGGUGGUGUCAUCCACUGGCGGCAGGAGGCUGCCAGUGGUGGUUUUACAGUGGUUAAGGGUAGUAACCCUCAUAUUCUUCACAAAAAUAGUAGGAACACAAAGGCAGUAGGCUAGGCUCACCACCAAGUACAUGCACAUGUGACACAGCCACCUUACGGUGGUGUGCAGAGGUAGAAAAUCAUGCCAACAGCUUAGGCAGCCGGCCAUGGUGGUGGUUCUCGGGGAAAAGAAACGACAUAGGAUAGAAGGAUGAGGAUGGGGGUAUUACCUAGGAUGCGAUGAUGGUUGGUACGUACCACCCUCCCUGACACCUCCUCUCUCGCGUCUCGACUCCGACACGCUCUUCCGAUGAUAGCAGUAAAACGACUCUCAUCCGUUUUCUUCUUUCGUCGAUUUUGGUAGCCAAUAAGGUAUCACACACAAAAUGGAUAGUUAGGGUUCGAUGCGAGAUGGUAUACGAUCAAGACAGAGGAGUUCGGCGCCAAGAAAGGAGCCCAAAACAGAAUUCCCGUCCAUGCUAUGGGUUUAUAUGACAUUUUCAUUUUUGACCCCACACUAUCCCAUAAUGACGAUUCCUACCCUCUAUAUGAAAUUCUUAACAAAUACAGCUUUGGUUCUUGACACUUUUAGCCCCUAAUUCUUCGUUAUCUUUCAUUAUUAAUUCUUGGAUUUUAUUUCAUCUAAUUAUUAUUAUUAUUAUUAUUAUUAUUAUUAUUAUUAUUAUUAUUAUUUAUUUUCUUUAUUUAUUAUUUAACCACUUAAUAUUUAUCGGAUCCUUUUUAUUCGUUUUGAUCACCGAUAAAAUUCCUUAGAAUUCUUAUUGUUAAUUAUAUGACUAUUUAUUUAAUUAACACUCAAUUCCUUAAUCACUAAUAAAAAAAAUAGGGCAUUACAAAUUUGCAUGGCUAGAAUAUGAAAAUUAACGAGAUCUACCAAUUUCACCACGAAAAACAAAAUUUAAACGAAUUAGGUUUUAAAUGAAAUUCCUAGAUCUUUUAAGAUUCAUUGAACUAUUCAAUGACAUGUUUAAUCUCGAUUAUACCCUUUCCAUUUGUGACUGGGAUACCGAGGGUCACAAACAAGGUGUGAAUAACUAUGCAAAUUAGCUUGGUGCUCUCGGUGCCAUUUAUCACCUAAUUAAUGUGUCGGUUAACCACACACACAACAUUAAUCAAUGAUAACUUACGAUACACCCAUUGCCGCCCUUUAUAAGUCCAUAUUAGCGUCGGUUAACCACACACACUCCACUAACGACUUUCAUAAAGUGCAAUGUGCAAUUUCAAGGACUAGCAUCAAAUUCACAUCUUCCUAAGGUAACUAAGAUUGGGAAUUUAAUAAAACAUUUAGUUACUUUAUAUUUUCAUUAUACUUAUUAAUGAGAGUUUUAUGUCCUAUCCUACCUGUUCGGCUAACGACCCUCCACCAAUCAAGCAAGCGGUAGGUGAGAGUAGACACCCAUUUAACUGCCAUUUUAUAAGCAGUGUCCUUAUACCGCCUUAUAGUUCGACUUCGUGAAUGAGGCCUACUGACGUUAACACUGACCUUUUCUUAUACAUAUAUAAAUUAAACUUUUAAUUUUAUAAUAAUAUAAAGGUGUAUUUUAAUCAUUUAAAAUACUAGGGUUUUUAAAUAUUAAAAACCAUGAUUUAAUAAUUAUCUAAAUUAAACAAUUAAUAAAAAUUAUUAAAUCACAUGAGGAUUAUCCAUUAAAUUAAUUUAACUUAAUCUUUUACCCCCUAGAUUUUGAAAAUGGGGAAGGAUAAAUACAAGAUUUUAUAACUAUCUAGUAAACAAUUAAAAGGUAAUUACCAAAUACAACUACCCUAUCCAAAACCCUAAUUUCGAAAUCCAUGACAAUAGGGAAAAGGCAAGGCUUUGAACCUUGCCUAAUUUUCGAAAACCCUAGGGUUAGGAAACCCUAUAUUUCAACUUUAAGGAGGCCAAAGAAGUGGGUCAAAAACCCUUUACAAUUUUCAAAACUAGGGUUAUGAAACCCUAAUUUGCGGAAAAUCCAAGCCCUACGGUUUAAAAUCUAUAAACCCUAAUUUGUCAAAUUCAAUCUACUAUAUCAAAUCUAAUUGAAAACAAUAACCAUAAGCUCUGAUACCACUGAUGGGUUCUCUACAUAGCAAAUACUCUUAUGUGUGCAUGCAACCCUAAUUGAAGGAUCUAUGUUUUAUCUAUUAGACAGACAAGCAUUAAAAACAAAUCUAGAAACCCUAUGAGGCAUGUACUCAUUUCGAAAUUAACAUAAAAUAGGGUUUAGAUAUAUACCUUGAGUUGUUAUGUAGUGAUAACAAAGAAUCCUUGAAGAUCUUGAACUCUUGAGAGCAAGUGCCUCAAAUGUGACACCUCUAAUGGCUUACAAACACUAUAUGCAAGAGGAUGAGAGGAGAGAGGAGGAGGAGGCUCAAUAUUUCGGCUCUACUGGAGUUUUGUUAGCAUGGUGCGAAAUCAUGAGGGUUGGGGCUCUAUUUAUAGCUGAGGUGGCUUAGGUCUAAAGUUAGGGUUUUGAGGUAGAAACCCUAAUCCUUUAGCUUAUGGCCUAAGCAGCGCAUGGACUCCCCUCCAUGAGGCUCAGAAGAAAUACCCUAGAACCUUUUAGGGAUUUUCGGCCUACCCCAAUAAGGGUGAUCCAAGAGCCCAAAACACCAACUAUCAAAUAAUUGCAAAACAGCGCUUGCACUUUUAAUCAGGUCGUUUAAUCCCAAAAUUAAUUCCAAAUUAAUUUCUUAUUAAGUACUAAUUAACUUUAUGAUUUGUAAUUAAUAUAUCAUUCUUAUAAUAUAUUAAUAAAUCAUUUCAUGCACCAAUUUAUUAUUCCAAAUAAUAAAUUCAACCCCCUCUCCAAAAGUCAUCCUGUAAAGUUGCUAGAAUGAAGGCAACCCGAAAGGACCGUGCUACUAUCAAUUCAACAAGUCCAUCAUGACCCACAUGCUAAGGAUACAUCGCUAUGUGGAUAGUCUCUUGAAGCUGAAUGUGAACUUUAUUGAAGAGGUGGCUAUUAACGUAGUCCUGCACUCAUUGCCUCCUAGCUAUGAUCAGUUAAAAAUGACUUAUUAUAUGAACAAUGAGGAAAUCACAUUGAGAAAACUUCAAGGAUUUUUGAGAAAUACUGAAAGUGGAUUGAAAGGAAAAAAUAUCGAAUCCACUCCUACUCCUGCUGCUGCUCCGGUCCUGACUAUUGGACAAGGAAAGGGGAAAAAAGGAAAGCUCCCUCAACUUCAAACUAGAAGGGAAAGUCCCCUGAAGGGUCCUCUAGUAGAUCCAAAGAAAAAUCCAGUGCUAACGCCCCUCCUGCCUCAGAUCCAAAAGAAGCAAUGUGCUUCUACAGUCAAGACAAAGGCCAUUUGAAGAGAAGCUGUCCCAAGUACCUACAAGAUAUCAAGGAUGGCAUGAUGAAGCCUACCUCGGCAGGUAUUUACAUUAUUUUGUCUAAAAAUUCAUCGCAUUCUAAUUCUUGGGUCCUUGAUACAGGAUUUGGUUUUCACAUUUGCUCUGACUUGCAGGGACUAAGAGAAAGUAGGAAUGUGGAGCUUGGGAAGAUGAACCUGAUAAUGGGCAAUAUGAGAUCGUCUGCUGUUACCAAGAUCGGCGUUUAUUCUUUAAAGCUUAGUAGUGGAUUAUGUUUAGACUUAAAUAAUUGUUGCUACUUGUCAGAAAUGACUAGGAAUAUUAUUUCUUUUCAUGGUUUGUAUAGACAAGGUUUUAGAUAUUCUUUUAAUAAUGAGAAUGGAUCUAUUAAUGCUUAUUAUAAUGGUGUAUUUUAUUUUGUAGCAUUACCUUGUGAUGGUGUUUAUGAAACUGUGAUGGUUGUAGACAAUUUAGGAAAUAUUAUGUUACAUAUUGAUUCGUCUAAUGGUUUAGAUAAAGCAUGCUUGUGGCAUUGUCGUCUUGGACAUUUCAACAAGAAACGCAUUGCCCAACUCCAAAAGGAUGGAGUGUUGGAAUCAUUUGACCUAAGGUCAGAUGGUACAUGCGAUUCUUGUUUACUUGGAAAGAUGACUAAAUCACCUUUCACUGAUUCUUGUGAAAGAGGUGAAGGAUUGUUGGAUCUCAUACACACAGAUGUGUAUGAGUCCUUCAGAUCCACCACAAGGGAUGCAAAUCGAUUUUAUGUGACUUUUACUUAUGAUUAUAGAAAAUAUGGAUAUAUCUAAUUAAUCAAGAACAAGCCAGAAAAUUUGAAAAGUUCAAAGUGUUCAAACAUGAAGUCGAAAAUCAAUUGGGCAAGAAGAUCAAGAUGCUUAGAUCCGAUACGGGUGGUGAGUAUCUUAGUAUCGAGUUCCACGACUACCUCAAUGAAUGUGGAAUUGUUUCACAAUUGACACCUCCUAGGAAAACACAACUUAAUGGGGUGGUUGAGAGGCGUAAUCAAACCUUGUUGGACAUGGUUCGUUCCAUGAUGAGUUGAGCUUCGCUACCGAUAUCGUUCUAGGGGUAUGCCUUAGAGACUGCCGCCCAUAUCCUUAAUCUAGUCUUGACAAAGAAGGUUACAUAAACACCUCACAAGAUGUAGACAGGGAAAGUUCCCUCAUUGGCACAUAUCAAGGUUUGGGAUUGUGAAGCUUUCGUUAGAUGAGAGACUCACGACAAGCUUAAACUUCAAAGUGAGCGAUGUAUUUUCAUCGGCUACCCACAAAAGUCCUUUGGAUACUUAUUCUAUAGACCUAGUGAGAACAUGGUCUUUGUAGCACUAAGGGGAGUUUUCUGUGAGAGGGAACUCAUAUGCAAAGAAGACAGUGGGAGUAUAAUUGAUUUUGAAGAAAUUCAAGAGUGAAGCAAUGAAGGAACCUCUAACGCUGGCGCUUAACCCGAGGAAGUAUUUCCUGUUGAACCAAUUGAUGAUUCGUUACAUCUUAGGCGUUCCACUUGAGUUAGAAUGACACCAGAAUUUUAUGGUUUUCGUAUUACUACAGACAAUGAUACAUUUAUCAGUGAUAGUACACUGGUAAAUUUGGAUGAGCCUUCUAGCUACAAGGAAGCCAUGGCGGGCCCUGAGUCUGCUAGAUGGAAAGAGGAAAUUGACACCGAGAUCCAGCCCAUGUAUGAGAAUCAAGUUUGGAACUUGGUUGACAAUGUACUAGGCCGCAAGACAGUUGGGUGCAAAUGGAUCUUCAAGAAGAAGACAGACAUCGAUGGAAAGGUGCACAUGUUCAAGGCACGAUUGGUUGCGAAGGGCUUUACUCAAACCCUGGGGGUUGACUAUGAUGAGAACUUCUUACCAGUGGCCAAGAUCAAAUCUAUUCCGGUUAUGUUAGCCAUAGUUGCAUUUCAUGAUUAUGAAAUAUGACAGAUGGAUGUCAAAACAACUUUCCUUAAUGGGAAGCUGGCUGAAGAUGUUUACAUGCAUCAGACAGAGGGUUUUGUGGGUGCUGAAUACACCAAUAGAGUGUGUAAGCUUGAGAAAUUAAUAUAUGGAUUGAAGCAAGCUUCUCGAAGAUGGAAUCUUUGCUUUGAUGAAAAGUCAAAGAGUUUGGCUUCUCUACGAGUGAGGAUGAGUCCUAUGUAUAUGUUAAAGCUUGUGGGAGUAUAGUUAGCUUUCUAGUUGUAUGUUGAUGACAUACUACUCAUAGGAAACGACGUUCCAACCUUGCAGGAAGUUAAGUCCUUGCUUGGAAAGUAUUUUGCUAUGAAGGAUCUAGGAGUGGCUGCUUAUAUUUCGGGAAUAAGGAUUCUAAGAAAUAGGAGUAAAAGAAUUAUUGGACUUAGUCAAAGUACUUACUUUGAUAAAGUGCUAAAACGUUUUAGCAUGGAGAAUUCCAAGAAAGGAGAGUUGCCUAUCGAGAGCAAUACCAAGCUGAGUAAGACUCAUAGUCUGGGUACCGAUGCCGAGAUGGCAGAAAUGAGUCGGAUUCCAUAUGCUUCCGUUGUUGGAUCGAUCAUGUAUGCUAUGAAAUGUACUCCUCAUGAUGUGGCUUUUGCUUUGAGCAUGGUCAGCCAAUAUCAAGGGAACCCAGGUAAAGCCCACUGGAUAGCAGUUAAGAACAUUAUUAAGUAUCUGCGAAGGACUAAGGACUGGGUCCUUGUACUUGGAGGCAGUGAUGACUUGAGAGUUACUGGUUAUAGUGACGCCAGUUUUCAGACAGAUCGAGACAACUUCCGUUCUCAGUUUGGUUGGGUGUUUACACUUAAUGGAGGAGCUGUAACUUGGAAAAGCUCCAAGCCUGAGACUGUGGCUAAUUCAACCUAUGAGUCAAAGAAUAUAGCCGCGAGCGAAGCGUCAAAGGAGGCUAUAUGGUUGAAGAACUUCAUUGGAGACCUUGGAGUUGUACCAGCCAUAAAGGAGCCCAUGAAGAUUUUCUGUGAUAAUGAAGGAGCGGUUGCCUUGACUAAGGAACCAAGGGGUCAUCGAAGAUCCAGACAUUUCGACAGAAAAUACCAUUUGAUCAGACAUCACGUAGAAGAAGGACUCCUCGUCAUCAAGAGGGUAUCAUCAGAAAAGAAUCGUGCAGAUCCCCUCACAAAGGGUCUGAGUAUGAUCAAGCACAUUCAACAUGUGAGGAGCAUCGGUCUGAAGGAUGAUAUUAGUUUUAGUAAUUAGAUAUACAUUUAGAAACUUGUAACAAUAUAAAUGUAAUUGACAUUUGACGAUUAUAUAAUGGUGAUUUAUUUAUAAGUAAUUGUUUACUAUCUAUUGUCAAUUGUUUAUUUUGUGUUUCACCUUUGCAUGUUUUACUUCCUAAAUAAUUGGAGUAUUCGAAUAUCCAAAGUCAAUCAUACUUUGGAAGUAAGUAUUGAAUUAAGGUUGUCAUGAAUUGGCUUGUAGAUUGUUUAAGUGUUUAGACAUAACAAAUGUUUGUUGCAACGUUCAUGAGUACUUCUAAAAUGGAGAUUUGAGUAUUGGAUUAAACCCACGCUUAUUUGAAUUACUUCAUGGAAUUUAGCACAAGUAAUUAUGAGACGAUAAUAUCGUAUAAUCUUUAAACUGAGAUAUAUGAGUUGUUGUUUACGAGUUGGUUGUGCAUUGAUAGUACGUAAACACAUCAGUAAUUUGAUGUUAUAAAACAUAUUAUUGUGCAUUAAAUAGUACAAGCUUAUAAGUCAAAGUUUAUCUGUUCCUUUUAUCCCAAGGGGUAAAAGUGAUAUCUUGGGCCCCUCGAUGAUUUUGUGUUGACUUAUGUGUCAGGCCCGGUCAGGACCGAAUUGAUGUGUUCAAUUAAGUUCGUUGUCAUAAAAAUCAGAAAUUGGGAAAGAAACUGUUGGACAAUGAGAAUUUUCUAUUCCAUGUAUUUGUCCACAUGAUAUCUUGCAGAACGGAGGAUUAUAUGAUCCCUUAUCUAAGGACACGUAACUGACUAGGUCAGAGUUCGACAACGGGUUUGAGAGCUACAAUGUGUUGGUCAAUUUUUGAAGUUAUACUUGCAAUUAUAGUUAUUAUACUUAUCCAAGUGGGAGACUGUUGGAUUAGGUGUCUAAGCCCAUAACAAUAAUUGGUAUAUACUUGAAUUGAUAGCAGUACAAUCCUUUUGGGUUACCUUCACUCUAGCAACUUGACAGAAUGACUUUUGGAGAGAGAGGUUGAAUUUUUUAUUUGGAAUAAUAAAUUGGUGCAUGAAAUGAUUUCUUAAUAUACUAUAAGAAUAAUAUAUGAAUUAGAAAUCAUAAUGUUAAUUAGUAUUUAAUCAAAAAUUAAUUUGGAACUAAUUUUGGGAUUAAUGGAACUGAUUAAAAGUGCAGGGGCUGUUUUGCAAUAAUUUGCUAGUUGGUGUUUUGGGCUCUUGGAUCACCCUUAUUGGGGUAGGCCGGAAAUCUCUAGAAGGUUCUUGGGGAUUUCAUCCGAGCCUCAUGGAGGGGAGUCCAUGGGCUACUUAGGCCCUAAGCUAAGGGAUUUGGGUUUCCACCUCAAAACCCAAGCUUUGGAUCUAAGCCACCUCAACUAUAAAUAGAGCCCUAACCCUCAUGAUUUUUCCCCAUGCUAGAAAAACCCUAGUAGAGCCGAAAUCUUGUUCCUCCUCCUCCUCCUCUCUCCUCUUAUCCUCUUGCAUGGAGUGUUUGUAAGCCAUUAGAGGUUUCACAUUUGAGGCACUUGCUCUCAAGAGUUCAAGAUCUUCAAGGAUUCUUUGUUAUUACUACAUAACAAAUCAAGGUAUCUAUCUAAAUCCUAUGUUAUGUUAAUUUCGAAAUUAGUACAUGCCUCAUAGGGUUUCUAGAUUUGUGUUCAAUGAUUUUAUGUCUAAUAGAGAAAACAUUGAUCCUUCAAUUAAGGUUGCAUGCACACAAAAGAUUGUUAGCUAUGUAGAGAACCCAUCAGGACUCUCCAUCUUUCGACUUGGUGGUGAUAAAUGACCUGACUAUUUCAUACCUCUCCUGACGCGCUCGUUGAUGGUACUUAUCUAUCAAGUCCUUGCACAUUUCGUAAGGUUAAUAGUAUGUUGGAUUAGUGUCUAAGUCCAUAACUAUUUUGGUAUGUACUUGACCCGAUGGUGCAUGGUCCUUUUGGGUUGCCUUCACCAAAGCAACUUGAUUGGAGAAAUAAAUAGAGAGAGAGGUUAUUAUGAUUUAUUAAUAUGUUAUAAGAAUAAUAUAUUAAAGGAGAAAUCAUAUUUGUUUAAUUAAUAUUGGUCAAUAAUUAAUUAAGAAUUAAUUUUGUGAUCAAGUGUAAUUAAUUAAACUAGAGGGGCUGAAUUGUAAUUAUGUGAUAGUUACAAAAUAAGGUAAGGAUUAUCUUAAAUAUAUGGUGAACGAAUUUAAGGUGAUAAUGCCUUAGAAUUCGACUAGGAUAAGGGUUUCUAAGACUUAUCUUAUGGUUGCUUGGUGGGCAAGCAACUAGAUAAGGAUAAGGACUAAAACCCUAAUCUUUACACCUAUAUAAACCCCCUAAGGCUCAUGAAUUCGUCUAAGCCUUCCCAAGAAGUCCUAAGGAUGAAUUCCUACCUCUCUCCUCUCUCUUUAUACCUUCUCCAUUUGCUCUUGGUGUUUGUAAGCCAUUAGAGGAGUGACACUUGUGACUCUAAGCCUUCCAAAGUCAAUUCAAGGAGGAAUUGGGAUUGUUAUUGCUACAUAACAAUCAAGGUAAUAUCUUAAACCUAAUUAUAUGUUAAUAUUGAUUUCCAUAUGCUAGAAUUAGGGUUUAUAGUCUUGGAUUCAAAGCAUGUACAAUAGAGAAACCUAGAUCCAAGCAUUAGGGUUUGUAUGAGCACAUAGGAUGUCUUAUGACCAAAACCCAUCAGUGGUAUCAGAGCCUAGCUUGGUUUCAAUUGUAUUGAUGCAUUGUAUAACUGGAAAAUUCGUUUUUUGGGUUUCUGGAGGCUGGACUCGCCGAGUCCAUAGCUGAACUCGCCGAGUCCAAGGUGACUCGACGAGUCCAGGCUUGACUCGACGAGUCAACUCGUCAGAUGGAGGUUAUCUCGGGAUUUCUUGCUGUUUUUGCAUUGGGAUAGUUACCUUAUCAUGUUAGAUCAAUAUUAAUCCGAUUUUAUGAUAUAUUUGACUAUAUUUUUGAUCUAAUUGAAGAUAUUUAUCAAUUAAUAAGAUAAUUGUUUCCUUAUGUGAUAAUUGAUUAAUUAUUUUGACUAAAUUGAUAAAUUGUUUUGCAAGAAAUCAUUAAAUAAAUCAAAUAUGGAUAAUUAUGUGAUUAAAUGUUAAUUUAGAUUAUUUGUUAUUUGAUCCUUGUUGUUAUGAAAAGUUUCAUAUUUUCCCCUUUAGGUUUUAUAGUUUAAAUUUGAACCCAAAAGUUUUGUUGUUUUGAAAUUUAAAUAGUUGAAACCCUAAUGUUUUGAAAAAGGUUUCAAAACUUGCCCUCAAGUUUUGGAAUUUAAAUUUUGAUUAAAUGGUUUAAUUUUGAUGUAUAUUUAAAUUCUAAACCCUAAUGUGUUGAAAUGUUUCAAAACUUGCCCUCAAGUUUUGGAAUUUAAAAGUUGAUUAAAAGUUUAAUUAGGAAUGUUAAAUUCUAAAACUCUAGUAUAGUUUUGAAAAAGUUCAAAUCACACCCUUAUGGUUUUAUUAAUUAAUUAAGGUGUAUAAUUAAAAGAGGUUUAAUAAAUCCAUAAAAGUUUAGGUUUACAAUUUAAUUGAAUUAAAAGUAUAAUUGUUAAAUUUGACCACCUAGUAUUUUAAAAGUGUAAAAUACACCCUAUACUAUAUAUAACAUUAAAAGUCUAACAUUAUAUAUAUGUAUGAGUAAAAGUCAGUCUUACCGUUAGUAGGCCUCAUUCACGAAGCUGGUCUAUAAGGGGUGUUUAAGGAAAUUGCCUAUAAAAUGGCGAUUGAAUGGGUAUCCACUCUUACCCACCGCACUCUUGACUAGUGGAGGGUCGUUAGCCGAACGGGUAGGAUAGGACGAAACCUUCCAUUAUAAGUAUAAUGAAGUAUAAAAGUAACUAAAUGUUUUCAUAAAAUUCCCAAUCUUAGUUACUUAGGCAAAAGUGAAUUGAUGCAAUUCCAUGAAAUUACACUUUGUGCCCUUGCGAAGACGUUAGUGGAGCGUGUGUGGUUUACCGGCACACUAAAUGGUUCUAAGCAAAGGUAGCAAAGGGUGACUCAAUGUUUGUCAUAGUUCGGUGGAGCGUGUGUGGUUUACCGGCACAUCGAAUAGGUGACUGUAACAUGUGAGGGCACCAUGUAAGUUUGCAUGGUUAUUCACACCCGCUUUGUGAUCCUCGGCAUCCCAGUCACAAACAAGAGGGGCAUAUCGAGAUUUAAACAUGCCAUUGAAAGUUCAAUGAAUCUCAAAGGAUCUAGGAGUUUUCAUAGAUUUAAAACUUAAAUUUCUUUUUCGUUUUUCGUGGUGGAAAUUAGUGAAUCGUCAUUCACUUACCUUCAAAUAUUCUGCAAUUAGGGUUACGGCAUCCCUCUCCCGAGUUGUAGAAUAUUGUGUUGGGUCCUAGCCUUAGUAUCUCAUUUGGGUGAUUUACUAAGGACUCAAUCAAUCAACUAACUUGAAUUCGUUUUCUCCCGUUUUGUAGAUGUCAAAGUUCGACAACUAUGGUCUUCCCAAAUCCCGUGGAACAAGCAUUCCACAUGAAGAUGAUAUUCCACGAUUCGAUCGAGGAACAAGAAAUCAUGCUUCACUUCCUCCACCUCCUCCAAUUAUUCUCCCUAACCCACAAGUUCAAAGGCUUGAAAAGUUCAAGAUCACUCAAGCCCUUUUGGCAAGUAAACAUAAAGAAGGAAAGUCGGUGUGUGCACACGUCCUAGGGAUGAAGUCACACAUUGAUAGGUUAAGAAUGUUGGGAUCCGUUGUCUGUGAGGAAAUGGCUGUUGAUUGGGUUCUUCAGUCACUUCCUAACUCAUAUAGUGAGUUCGUAAGAGAGUACUAUAUGAUGAACCGCGACGUGACCCUUAUAGAUCUCACCUAUAUGCUUAUUGCUGCUGAAUCAGCAAUGGUUUGGCGCAAUAGAAAAGCAAAGUUGAUUGGUGAAUCUGCCUUCAAGACCUCUAUGGAUAUAGACAAUGGCAACGAAAGACAUGCUAUGAUCGAAAAGUUUGAUCAUAAGAGAAAGGCAAUGUCUGAAGUAGUUCCAUGUCAUGUUCCAAAAGAGUCAAUUUGCUUUUAUUGCCAAGAGAAAGGGCAUUGGAGACGAAGCUGCCCCAUUUACCUAAGAGAUCUAAGAGAUGGGAGAGUCGAAACGUAUGGCUCUAAUAUAGGUAAAAUCCAUUAACUAACUCUUUUAAGCUUCUAUUCUAGAUUCUUAAUACAUAAUGUGAUAAGAUUACAAUUGAUGUUUUGUAGGAUCGAAGAAAAGAAAGGAAGCUUAAGGGAAGAAGUGAGCAGAAUCUAACCGUGAAGGAAUGGAUUUCGAUCGCAUUUCUCGAAGAUUAGAUUCUUGAGCUACUACUUAGAGUUAGAAUUAGAUUGCUAAGAAAGAUGUAUUAGCAUAGUUUUUCAAUGAAUUGCAUUGUAAGGACAAAUUUUUCCGCAAUAAAAUAAAUUUUGAUUUUAAAUUUUAUUUAUUUAUCCUUACAAUGGCGUGUAUGAAAAAUUGAUGUUAAAAUGUUUCUAUUAUUAGCAAUAAUGGAUUUGGUUCUUAUUAUGUUAUUUAUGGAAAGUCGAGAAUUUACCAAAUAGGGAGAGUUUCUCAUCGCCCAAGUUUCAAUUGGACAGAAACUUGGAAUCAUGCAACUUGGUUGCACGAUGAAUGAGAAAUUUCAUAUUUGGAAAUUAGACUAAUUCAUUGACAAAGUGUCAAGUGAAGGACUAGGAGAUCGAGUACACAAAGUUGCGUGUUGAUCAAGUCCACCAUAAGAGUAACAAAGAUAUUCGUCAUGAUUUACUAAAGGUUUAGUAAAUAUGAUUAUACUUAUAAGAUUAAGUGUAAUUCUGAAUUGAUUGAAAAGGUUUAAAUCAAUAGCAGAACGAAUAAGAAGAAUCAAGUAGGCAGAAAGAUAAAAGUUUCUCCAUUCUAAGAAGAAGGGAGAGUACCUUUUAUGCUUUAUGAUAGGUCUUAAUGAUUAAGAACCAUAUCUCAAUUGAUCCUCUAAGUGAGUCUUAGUACAAUUGUAUGUCUAAGAAGAGGAAUCAAGAAUUGAAGAAAUGGUUAAAUCAAUAAGUCAAUCAUACUUCGUUCCAAUAACAAGUCUUAAAGUUAAGAUUGUGACAUUGAGUGAAAGGUAUUAAGAAGGUUUGUAACUUUCAUUAAAUGUGGAAAGUUGUGAUGUCUUGGAUAAGACAAAGACCAACUAGGACCAAUUUAUGAAGUGUUUUGAUAAAAGCUACACUAACUCUUGAAUAUUUGUUUGUCAAGAAAUGGUUAUUGACAAGAGAAUCUUAUAUGUCAAGGAGUCAGUGGGAGUCUUAAUGGUCUUGAAAGGUUUCAAGAACAAAUCAAAUAAACCUUAUCGAUCAUCACUAGCACACGAGUUGAGGUUUACAACCUAUCGUGUUGACAUUAUUUUGAUUCUGUGCCAAUCCAAUCGAGUUAAUUAUGCAUGUGAGUUCUAUGAGUUCUCAUUUUGAACGCAUAAAAGGCAAAGCACCUUAAUCAAUGAAAGGUACAUUGAUAGGAAAGGGUGAGCUGCUUAACUACUUGGAAGACAUGGUGGGCAGCUGUGCUACCAUAAGGCAAGAAAUCAAGAUUAAGAAAGUUCGGUCCAUAUGAGUUUGAAUUUGUCGUAAACUUUGGUUUUAACAAAUUCACAUGGAUAGGAACACAUACACCGUUUAAAUCUAAGUGUCAUAAGAUUUCCUCCUUCAUGAAAAUGAUUGUGAGGAAAUGCUUUCACUAAGAAAGAUUUUAAGAAGAUAGUGAUUGUAAAAUUGCAUUCUCGAAUUCAAUUAUGGUUACGGCAUCCCUUUCCAUAAUUUGAAUUGUGAGGUUUGGCAAUUAGUCUUAAUUGUUUAGACACACAUAUGAACUAUCGAAGGCAAAGGUGUAUAAGUUCAAGAAGCAUUGAUAAAGGAUUAUCAAAGCACUAAGUAUUAGAAACAUGAACUUAAGAAAUUCAAUAAGUAUUUUUUUCUGAAAGUUAAGAUGUUUAUGAAUACAUGUCGAAGCUAGUGGGAGCAUAAGUGUUAUGUUUUAUAAUAAUCAUCAUGAUAGUGGGAGCAUAAAAGUUAUGAUUGUAUGAUUAUUAAGGAAAGUAUUGCAAGGUUAGCAAUAUUAAUUAUAGAAAACAAGAGUCAUACUUUGCAAAGUUGUAAGAGUUGAAAAGUUGUUUUGCUAUAAUUAAGGGAGAGAAUAUUAUGCUUCAUUUCAAAUCUAAAGGAUUAGGUUGAGAAAUGUUAAAAAAUUUAGUCAAAGGUACAUAGUGUGUUCUUAAAAUUUCGAUUAUGAUUACGGCAUCCCUCUUCACAAUUCGAAUUUUGAGAACAUAGCAAAUAAAACAUUAUGCGUCGUGUCCCAUACGCUUCGGGUAUAGGAUCGAUUGCAAAUGCUUUAAUGUUUGACCAUUCUAAAAUUUUCCAAAUGUCUAGCGCAUUUAGAGGGAAAAAGGACUAGAAUCGGUUUUGACUAAAAUAAUUAAACAACUAUCAAAGGACAAUCCAAAGUUCGACGAGGAUUGGUCGCUUGUGAGUAGUUGGAAGUAUAGUAUUGGAAAAUAUGGAAAUGUUUCCAUAUUGGAUGGACCAUAUCGACAUCAUUACGAAUAGAUAAGAUUCUAUUAAGAAUGAGUUGUCAUAUGGAACAUAUGGAAGUGUGUCCAUAUUGGGAAUUGAAUAUUGAGAAAUCUAUGACUAGAUUAGAAACUUCUAUGCAAAAGGAUGUUCAAAGAAUGUACUUUGAGUGAGAGACAUCACAUCUAUGGAAUUGUCUUGUAACAAUCUCCGAUAGAGGACUUUGUAAUAUCAUUGGCAAUAGUCUUUGUGACUUUGGUGCAGUGACAUUACGAAAGGAUAGUUGCAUAGAAUGUUAGAAUCUAGCAUAUUCUAUAAGUAGCAAGAAUUUGAUAUUCUUUCACUUAUGAAAAAGGAUUUGGAGUUGUGAAAUGAGAAUGAUUGGAAAUGUGUUCAAUGUGAUCUAUUUCACAAAGUAAGAACCAUAGGUAAACAUUGUGUGCAUGCUAGGAGCAUGGGACAAGUGUUGUAAUUCAAGUAAGAAGUUGAUUACCCGAAACGACAAAUAAUGAGUAAUCAAUAUGGUGAUAAAUAAAAGGUGUUUUAUUUAUACUCAAAGGUUUGAGGCCAUAUGGGAUUAGUAUUAUUCUUGUGUUUCACAUUUGCAUGUUUUGACUUCCAGAAUAAUUGAGUUUAUUAAGAAUAAUCGAAUUAUUCGAACGGGCCACAGUCGUUCAUAUGUUGGAAGUAGAUAUGAAUGAAGACUGUCGUGAAUUGGUGUGUGGAUUGUCUAAAAGAGUAUUAGACAUAAGCAAAUGUUUGCUGCAACGUUCAUGAGUGCUUAUGAAUAUGAUUUGAGCAUUGGAUUAAACCCACGCUCACUUGGAUCACUCCAUGAAUUGUAUCACGAGUGAUUGGUGAGACGAUAACAUCUUAUAUUCUUGAAACCGAGAUGUGUGAGUUGUAUCUUGCAAAUCGGUUGCACAUUGAUAAUAUGUAAACGCACUAGUAACUUGGUGUUAUAAAACAUAUUGUUGUGUGUGAUUCGGUGCGUGAGUACAAGCAAGCAUUGUAUCAAAGUUUAUCCGUUCCUUUUAUCCAAAGUAGGAUAAAAGCGAUAUCUUUGGGCCCCUCGAUGGUUUAGUGAUGACAAACGUAAAUGCUCGGCCGGGCUAGGGCUAAUUUGAUUUGUUCAAUUAGUCAGUCGUCAUAAAUCGGGAAUCGAGAUAUAGUACAAAGAGAAUGAUUUGAAAUCAUAUCUCAUAUGAUAUCUAGAAUGGAGGAAUAUAUGAUCCCUUAUCUAAGGACACGCGUAUCUGAUAGGAUCAGAGUUGACAGCGGCUUUGGAAAGCUACGAUUGCAGAUCAGGAUCUGAAGUCAUACGCAGAAUAGUUAUUAGACUUAUCCAAGUGGGAGACUGUUGGAUUAGUGUCUAAGUCCAUAACUAUUUUGGUAUGUACUUGACCCGAUGGUGCAUGGUCCUUUUGGGUUGCCUUCACCAAAGCAACUUGAUUGGAGAAAUAAAUAGAGAGAGAGGUUAUUAUGAUUUAUUAAUAUGUUAUAAGAAUAAUAUAUUAAAGGAGAAAUCAUAUUUGUUUAAUUAAUAUUGGUCAAUAAUUAAUUAAGAAUUAAUUUUGUGAUCAAGUGUAAUUAAUUAAACUAGAGGGGCUGAAUUGUAAUUAUGUGAUAGUUACAAAAUAAGGUAAGGAUUAUCUUAAAUAUAGGGUGAACGAAUUUAAGGAGAUAAUGCCUUAGAAUUCGACUAGGAUAAGGGUUUCUAAGACUUAUCUUAUGGUUGCUUGGUGGGCAAGCAACUAGAUAAGGAUAAGGACUAAAACCCUAAUCUUUACACCUAUAUAAACCCCCUAAGGCUCAUGAAUUCGUCUAAGCCUUCCCAAGAAGUCCUAAGGACGAAUUCCUACCUCUCUCCUCUCUCUUUAUACCUUCUCCAUUUGCUCUUGGUGUUUGUAAGCCAUUAGAGGAGUGACACUUGUGACUCUAAGCCUUCCAAAGUCAAUUCAAGGAGGAAUUGGGAUUGUUAUUAGUACAUAACAAUCAAGGUAAUAUCUUAAACCUAAUUAUAUGUUAAUAUUGAUUUCCAUAUGCUAGAAUUAGGGUUUAUAGUCUUGGAUUCAAAGCAUGUACAAUAGAGAAACCUAAAUCCAAGCAUUAGGGUUUGUAUGAGCACAUAGGAUGUCUUAUGACCAAAACCCAUCAUAGUCCUUAUAGAACCGAUGUAGCUCAGGAGUCAUAGUGGCUACCAUAAUACAAGACACUUUAGUAGCAUCCUUGCAGCGAGCCCUAUACUCAGCUAUUUCUUCAGGAGUAGCUUUGGUUUCAUCUAUCUCGUUCAUCUCCUUGUUGAGGACAUAUUCCUUGUCCUCGAAACGCAAGGCCAUUCGGAUGUUGCGAAUCCAAUCAUUAAAGUUGGACCCAUCGAAUGUCACCUUGGCCCAAAUACUCAAGAGCGAGAAUGAGUUGGAGUUAUUGUUGGAGGAAUCGGAAGCGUUGUUUAAGGUAGACAUCUGCAAAAGAAGAAGGAAAAGUUUUGAAUAGAUAAGAAAUCCUUAAUAUAACACUCAAAAAGAAAUAUUAAGGCUAGGACCCAACACAAUAAUGCACAAUUCGGAAAAGGAAUGUCGAAAAUCCAAUUGUAAAUUAUUUAAAGGUUGGUAAAUGACGAUUUACCAAUUCCACCAUGAAAACGAAAUUUAAAUGAAUUAGGUUUGAAUGAAAUGAAAUUCCUAGAUCUUUUAAGAUACAUUGAACUAUUAAAUGGCAUGUUUAAUCUCGAUUAUGCCCUUCAAAUUUGUAACUGAGAUACCGAGGAUCAAAAACAAGGUGUGAAUAACCAUGAAAAUUAGCUUGGUACUCUCGAUGUCAUUUACCACCUAAUCAAUGUGCCGGUUAACCACACAUGCUCCACUGAUCAAUAAUAAUUUACGAUCUACCCAUUGCCACCCUUUGUUAAUCCAAGUUAGUGUGCCGGUUAACCUCACAUGCUCCACUAACGACUUGACAAAGUGCAAUGUGCAAUUUCAAGGAUUAGCAUCAAAUUCACAUUUUCCUAAAGUAACUAAGAUUGGGAAUUUUAUAAAACAUUUAGUUACUUUAUAUUUUCAUUAUACUUAUUAAUGAGAGUUUAAUGUCCUAUCAUACCCGUUUGGCUAACGACCCUCCACCAAUCAAGGAAGCGGUAGGUGAGAGUGACACCCAUACAACUAACAUUUUAUAGGCAGUUUCCUUAUACCCCCUUAUAGAUCGUCUUUGUGCAUGAGGCCUACUAACGGUAAGACUGACCUUUUCUUAUACAUAUAUAAAUUAAACUUUUAAUUUUUACAAUAGUGUGAGGGUGUAUUUUAAACAUUUAAAAUAGUAGGGUUUUUGAAUAUUAAAAAUCUUGAUUUAACAAUUAUCUAAAUUAAACAAUUAAUUUAAAUUAUUAAAUCAUAUGAGGAUUAUCCAUUAAAUUAAUUAAAUUAAUUUAACCUAAUCCUUUACCCCUAGAUUUCGAAAACGGGGAAGGAUAAUUACAAGAUUUAAUAAUUAUACAGUAAACAAUUAAAAGAUACUUACCAACUACAACUACCCUAUCCAAAAGUCUAAUUUCAAAAUCCAUGACUUUGGGGGAAAGGCAAGGCUUUCAACCUUACCUAAUUUUCGAAAACCCUAGGGUUAGGAAACCCUAGAUUUUGACUUUAAGGAGGCCAAAGGAACGGGUUCAAAAACCCUUCACAAUUUUCGAAACUAGGGUUAUGAAACCCUAAUUUGCAAAAAAACCAAGCCCGAAGGUAUAAAAGCCAUAAACCCUAAUUUUCAAGUUCAAUCUAUUGUAGCAAAUCUAAUUGAAAAUAAACCAUAAGCUUUGAUACCACUGAUGGUUUCUCUACAUAGCAAACACUCUUAUGUGUGCAUGCAACCCCAAUUGAAGGAUCUAUGUUUUCUCUAUUAGACAUACAAGAAUUGAAAACACAUCUAGAAACCCUAUGACGCAUGUACUAAUUUCGAAACUAACAUAAAAUAGGGUUUAGAUACAUACCUGGAUUUGUUAUGAAGUAAUAACAAAGAAUCCUUGAAGAUCUUGAACUCUUGAGAGCAGGUGCCUUAAAUGUGAUAAACCUAAUGGCUUACAAACACUCUAUGCAAGAGGAUGAGAGGAGAGAGGUGGAGGAGACUGUUACAACCCCAAAUUUCACAGCCAGAAAAGACCAAUCUGUUUAUGCUUUUUUCGAAAAUUAGAGUAUAUUUUUUAAAGAAAUAUGUUGCGGAAUUUGUUCCAAAAAAUAUGACAAGGAAUUUAUCAAAGCAUUUCCAAAGAAAUGUAUUUUCAGUACAUUACAAACCUCUGGAUGUCAUUGUCAAUACAGAUCAAAAGCAUAAACAAACCAACAUUGGCCUUACAACAUUCUAUUUAUUUUUACUGGCCUAUAAUCCAUAAUCUCUCAUCAGAUCAUCACAUCUAUGUUCCUGUGUCACUACCUGUAUUACAAAACUGAGUGGGUUAGGCUGGGGAGCCUUGUGAGAACAUAGGGUUUUCAACCCACAAUAAAUAAAUUUAAUUAUUUUCAUCAAAUCAGUCAACCCAAUUACCCGUUCUCGUUAUCCUCACUUUCCGUCCCUAAAGCAUCUAUUACAAGGAACCUAGCCUGAGGAUUUUUCAUCGAGAUGGAUAACAUUGCUUAGGGGAAUCCUUAGCAAUAGAUGUCAAAUAAUGAAACAAUGGGGGGNNNNNNNNNNNNGGGGAUGGAGUACACCUGGUGAGCACGUAGUUCAAAUAAACACCUACAGGUUGCGAGCCUGCUAGCGUUCCACUGGACUGUCUAGAAUAGUCAGUGGUCGUCAUCCAUACUCAGCUAGAUGACUGGAUCAUCGUCAACAUCGAGGCCUCUCAUCAUUUUAUUUCAUCACUCAUCAACUAUUUCAUCUGCACAUGUUUUACCCAACAUAUUUGUAGAUAUAAAAUACAUAUACAGUUUAGAUCUGAAAAAAGGUCUAAAUCUUUCAUCCAACAUUGAUCUCAAGAUAUAAAAUACAUAUACAGUUCUGAUCUGAAAAAAAUGGUCUAAAUCCUUCAUCCAACAUAGAUCACAAGAUAUAAAAUAUAUAUAGAGUUCAAAUCUUAAAAAAGGUUUAAAUCUUUCAUCCAGCAUAGAUCUCAAGAUAGAAAAUACAUAUACAGUUUAGAUCUGAAAAAGAAAGGUUCAAAUCUUUCAUCGAGUUGAUAUCAAGAUAUAAAAUACAUAUAGAAUUCAGAUCUGAAAAAAAAGGUUUAAAUCUUUCAUCCAACAUAGAUCUCAAGAUAUAAAAUACAUAUACAGUUCAAAUCUUCAAAAAAAGUUUAGAUCUAAAAAAAGGUUUAAAUCUUUCAUGCAUCAUAUAUCUCAAUAUAUACAAAUAAUAUGCACACAUAUCAUGUAAUUUAUAUAAAAUACUUCAUAUGUAUGUGUAAGAUGAAAGUAACUAUGCACUUACUUGAUAAUGUGGUGAUUCCAACUUGGACAGUGCUUCGCUUCGACGAACCUGGGAGGUUUGCUUGAAAACUGGGUACUGUGGGGGCAGAGUUCUGAGCCUAAAAACUCUUUUUCUUGGAGACUUUGAGUGCUCUGGGGCUUUCUUAUAGUGUUAGGGAAGUUUCCUAGGCUUGGGGGGAGUUUAGGAGGUUUAGAGAGAGAGAGAGUAGAGAGAGAAAGAAAGGGUUUAUGGUGUGAAGAAUGAAGCAAGCCUCACACCUCUAUUUAUAGCUGAAUUUUGGCUCAUCUCAACGAGUUUUGGGCCUCCAACUCCUCGAGUAGGUGCAAAGUGUCACCAUUCUGGUGGAGGACAAGUAGUGGCCUAUAUUGUGCCAUGUCACCCAUUUUGCAGCAACACCCUGCCGACUUCUAAAGCUCAUAUGCCAUUAUCGAUGUUCUUUAUAUCCAUGUGUAGGUAUUUACAAGGUCUAAAACUCUUCUUUUGACCCCAUCGGCUAAUUCUCGACCAAUUUUAAAUUUAACAGUAUGAGAAGAUUACUCUAUUAAAUGACCGUGUAAAAUUCAUAGCUUCUACAUACAGACUCCGUUUUCGUCUGUCAUUAUAGUUGAACUCUUAUUAAUGAGAUCUUCAAUUCCAAUUUAGGUUGUGUUGGCCAAAAAUCUAUCGAUCUAAAAUUCGAAGUCCAUGUUGCACACUGCUAUGCCAAAUCUUAGAAAAUUCAUAACUUCCUCAUACGAAGUCAAAUUUGGACAAUCUUUUUAUGCAUGCUCUUGGUUUAACAUAUACUACAACUUUCAUUUAGAUUGAUAAGGAUAAAAAGUAAUUUGUCAAUAAUUCUUUUUACUUUACGCGGUGUCGUGCGGGUUUAGCCGUAAAACUUCGACAAGUUAUAACUUCUUCGUUAUAACUCGGAUUUAUGCGUUCUUUAUAACUCCAGAACCCUUUUCACGACCACUACAACUUUCUUCAUAGAUAUCGAGUUAAUCUAUAUUUUUAUUUUUGGCACUUAUUUUCAUUCUUAAUUUAUUAUAUCUUAUAAAUAAGUAUAAUGCACAUAAAAUCACAUAAUGCACAUAAUAUUCAAGUAAUUCCUCUUUAUUACUUGAAAAUAAUUUACAUUUGUUGACCCUAGCUAUUACAUCAUUGUAUCAAUGCUUAGCCUCGAAAAACGGGCAUUAUAAUUCUCUCCCCCUUAGGAUGAUUCCGUCUUAGAAUCAUCAACAAAACAAGGCUUGUAAAAUGACUCCAUAUGUUAUCUCUUCAUCCUAGGUAAUUACUAUAACUUAUAUGUUCCUUCAAAUGAGUAUCUAAGUCUUGGAUUUCUUGACUGCAGACGGUACUCGAUCUUGCACCCGCUCUCUAUCUCAUGUUGGACUUUCAGUCGUGACCCUUAUUAGUUACAAUAUCGAUCCCUAUUGGAGACUCCUUCUUAUUUUUAACAAACUUAAGAUAAGUUCUUUCCUUCGAUUACCAUAAUAGACCGAUGGUAAUGACAUACCUGAACAAAACGGAUUCAAUUACUAGCUUCUUGGUAAGCUUGUGACUUUCCCUCAAGUGCAAGUCCUGUGCUUCUGGUAGUAUAUGCCUCUACUACCAUUCACACCUACUCAUACUCAUCCCAAGUAUUAUCUCGCAGUUUUCCUAGUCAUCAUACAAGAAUUUCACAUAGUCAUUUAACACAUCGGAUAACAUAACCAAGCUUUAUAUUAUUUAUUUAAACGAUUACAUAGGUACUUAAGUUCACCCUACACUAGGCCUCUUAUAGUAGGCUAUACCAUGUGAUUCUAUCUAUAUUUCUACUCCAUAUCCCGAUCUAUAGAUAAAUAGAUCCUCACUCCUGAUCUCUUACAUUGUCACCUGCUUCGUCGAGGAUCUUACAUAAUGCUCAUGCCUUUAGAUUUAGUGGAACGUUAGGCCUUUCUGCCUCCUUCAUAUCCGAGCAUUUUUUUGACAUGUUCCCUUCUUCGUUACAUCUAUAACACACCUUCUGGUUGGAUGUGCACUCGUUGGCAUAGUGACCUAUCUUUCCACAUUUGUAGCAAGUCAGCUCCUCGCUACAUUUCCCAAAGUGUUUCUUUUUACACUUCUCACACCAUGUAGCUUUGUUUCCACCUCCUCUAAACUUCCUUGAACCAAAAUUGGUAUUCUUUUUGGAACUCGCAAAUCCCUCAAACUUCCUCUAGUCUCCAACCUCAACCUUGUUGGCGGCUCUUCCCUUGAUCAUCUCUUCAAUAGACUUGGAAGCCCAGAUAGCUGCCUCCAGAGUAGGUUUCUGGCGUACUGGCACCACGUACUCCCAUGGAAAUCCUUUUGCGUACUUGUUGAUAUUUGUCAGCUCGUCUGGGAUGAUGCGCAAAAGCAAACUCCAUUUUGUCUUUGAAGGCAUUGGUGUAUUCAUCAAUGGACAUGCUUCCCUUCUUUAAUGUUAGGAAUUGGUUCUCUAGCUCAAGAAGAUUUUGAGCCGAGCAGUACUUGCGCUUAAAGUGCUCCAAAAGCUCUACCCAUGUCAGCUGUAGUGGCUCAUUGGGGCUUAUGAUAUUCCCCAGAGUGUUCCAAGUGAACAACGCCACCUCUGAACUGACGUACUGUGUAUGUGGUUUAUAGAUUGCCCUUGCAACCACAUGUUAUGAAGUCUACCUUGUCACACCCCCAAACCGGAAUGACGAAAAUGUUCAGGGGCGGAGGACGUCAUGUACAAUAUCACAACAAUUGUAUAAUAGUAAUCAAAGCAAACACAACCAUUACAUUGAUAAAGUAUAAUUUUUACAUCUGUUCAAUACAUAGUCUGUAUGACAUCAAAAGUGUAUAGCAAAAGUAUAAAAGAAGUGUCUCUAUAAAGCUCCGUCUUCUCAAAACCUGUGGGUGAACCUGUCUACUUGCUCCCUGAGAAUACAAGUGAUUUUGAAAGUGUAUCAACAUUUAAGUUUAUGAGUUCAUAAGCAUGUUUUUAUGAUAGAAAACUUGUCACUGUUCCUUGAAAAAAGUUAGUAUGAUUCUCCAGAAAACCCAAUAUUUUCCAUAGUAAAUGAAGUGUAGUGUUAGGCCUUAAGAUCAAAAUGUAUGUUUGUUACUAUACUCUGUAAUAGCCUACUGUAGUCCUAUGGAAAAUAAAACUACCUCAUGAAUGUUUCUUAAUUUUGUAUAUUGUACUAGUGUAGUCUAUACUAGAAAGUAGCUUAUCGUAGUAGAGUUUGUAUGAAAACCUUUUGUAUGAGUGACUGGAAACCACCAACUGUAGUGUAAAAUAGUGUACCAUAGUUUCAUUAUUUAAAAUAAAACUUUUGAAGUAGUGUUAAUCCCGUAAACAUUGUUUAGUUGGUACUAUUGUGAGUUUCAUAUAACCAUGCUAAUAUGACCUAGUGGCCUCUACGACGUUCUUCAGGUGUCAGAAUGUUAUGAUAUUUGUCGCCCCAGGCCUGUCGGCCUAGCUGUUGCAAGCAGCUCAGGUGCGGGAUUGUCAGUCCCGUAUAGAUCUAUACACAAAUUCACGCUCUCCUUCCAGGAGACUCUGGUUAUACUUUAUAGGACUUGAACCUGUACCUUGAUGUGUACAAUGAAGUAGUGCCUCACAACCCUAUAUUAACUAGUAUACGUGUAGUAUUAUAGUGUUCUCUUGUACUUGAAACCGUAUGUAUUACCUUGUAGUGGUGUACUUUGUAAUAUAAAAUAAUUAUUUAGUAGUGUAUCCUUGAAUUAAUGAAAUAGAGUAGUGAUCCAUAAACUAUACAUAUUAUAGUUUAUAUACUUGUUUCUGUAUAGCGUUCUUGAACUUGAAAAAUAGUGUAGUGUUUCCCAAACUAUACCUAUUAUAAUUUAUAUGUAUGCUCCGUAAUGAAUUGAAACCUUUGCAAUUUAUUAGUGUGUAUAAAGCAAUAAUAUAAGAUUUGUGUAAAGUUCCUUUUUUCUUGGUAUGUGACAAAAGUAANNNNNNNNNNNNNNNNNNNNNNNNNNNNNNNNNNNNNNNNNNNNNNNNNNNNNNNNNNNNNNNNNNNNNNNNNNNNNNNNNNNNNNNNNNNNNNNNNNNNNNNNNNNNNNNNNNNNNNNNNNNNNNNNNNNNNNNNNNUAAAAACAAUGAAAAAUAGUGAAAACGUAAGGGUAUGAACUCACCUUGAAUGCGUGUUCUUGAUAGGAUACGAAGUGGUAGUGGUGAUCCUUGGGUUUAGAACCCGUUUGCGUAGUCAUACCCUAUUAAUAAUUAUACACAAUAUCGUAUUUAAGUUAAUAAGAUAUUAAUUUAAAUAAUAAUUAAUAAAUUAAAGUGUUAGACAACACUUAAUAAUAUAAUAAAUACUUACAAAAAGGGGUUAAGGAAUUAUUUGGAGAUAUCCUAUGCGUUUUCGGUCUAUCCCUCACCGAAAUUCCUUGAUUUCGGUCUUAAAACACCAACCGAGAAUCAAGUCCUCGAUCUUAAAGGGUUCUCGGUCUGAGUCAGUUCUCUGUCCAGUUGGUNNNNNNNNNNNNNNNNNNNNNNNNNNNNNNNNNNNNNNNNNNNNNNNNNNNNNNNNNNNNNNNNNNNNNNNNNNNNNNNNNNNNNNNNNNNNNNNNNNNNNNNNNNNNNNNNNNNNNNNNNNNNNNNNNNNNNNNNNNNNNNNNNNNUAUAUAUAUAUAUAGAGAGAGAGAGAGAGAGAGGGUUUUCUAGCUAAGGGGAGUUUUCGGUCAAGGGGAGUUCUUUGUGGGGUUUGCGGUCCGGAAGUGAGGUUCUCGGUUUGAGUUUUCAGUCCGAAGAGUAGGACCCUUUUGCAUGUUCUCGGUUCUAAUUUGGCCCAAAAUUGUGUUUUGUUCUACGUGUUUAUAAAUUCUAAAUUGAUAAGAAUACAUAUAUAAUAAAGAAAUUUCCAUUAUUAACUAAAGUUUUAAUUAAUUGACUUUUGUUUUAACGUAAAUGACUUGAAAAUAACAGGUUGUUACACAACUCCAUCUCCGAGAUCCAGUUCAUAACUCCAAUUGGAUCUUUUUUCCUAGUGAAACUCGAUGGCUUGCAAUUUGUGAAGUCCUUCUACUUUCAUUUGUUCCUCUCGACACCUUCAUCCUAGUUGUUCCUCCUAACCACUGGUGGUUCAGCUUGACCAAUGGUCCUAAUGUUGCUCCCUUCUUCCGACUGUCCGUCAUUCAGUUCUGGUUGUUCAACGGGCAUCGAAGGUUCAUCCUUAUUGUUUAGCAACAUUUUCCUCACUUGUUCCCUAUGUUUGGCCAUCAUAGCCCGAAUCAUGGCUUGUACUCCAGCCAUCGUGACUAGCUCAGGUGUAGCUUCUACUAUCGACACUUGCUCAAUCCCUUGGGGUUGAGGCUGCUGAUUUAUGUUCCCAUUUGCAUUUCCUUGUCCACUUCGGGUUCUCACAAUGUUGAUCUAUACACCAAAGUAGGUGAACUUAGAUCUUUAUUUAUGAUAGACAUUUAAAUCCUCCUUAUCACUCUGAAAUGUUACAUGCUAGUUCUAAUAUCAUAGUUGAACGUUUAGAAUCCUGAACGCAUAAGAUUUCUAGAUCCGUCCGACAAAAUACCAUAGAUUCGAUCAAAUAAUAGCAUAUAAGGCAUUUUUCUAGUUAUAAUAUAAAUCAUUUAGCACAUAAAAGCAUUUUAGGCAUCUUUCCUAAGAUAAACUAGUGCUUGUGUCUAAAAUAUGGUAGCCACUCAUCUCACGAUCAUUCUUAGCAUUCUAAGUUUAAGUCUAGAAAUCCUACAAAUUCCAAGUUAGUUUAAACUAAUGCUCUGACACAAACUCUGACAUCCCCAAAUUUCAUGGCCAGAAAAGACCGAUUUGUUUAUGCUUUAUUUGACAAUCAUAGUAAAUUUUAAAGGAAAUGUGUUGCGGAAUUUGUUCCCAAAAACAUGAUAAAGAAUUUAUCUAAGCAUUUCCGAAGAAAUUUAUUUUCAUGACAUUACAAACCUCGGGAUAUCAUUGUCAAUACAGAUCAAAAGCAUAAACAAAACAACAUAGGCCUUACAAUAUUCUUUUUAUUUCUACUUGCCUAUAAUCCAUAAUCUCUCAUCAGAUUAUCGCAUCUAUGCUCUUGUGUCACUACCUGUAAUACAAAAACUAAGAGGGUCAGGCUCAGGAUCCUGGUGAGCACAUAGGGUUUUCAACCCACAAUAAAUAAAUUUAAUUAUUUUCAUCAAAUCAUUCAACCUGAUUACCCGUUCCCAUUAUCCUCACUUUACGUCCCUAAAGUAUCUAUUAUAAGGGACCUUGCCUAAGGAUUUUUCAUCGAGCUGGACAACAUUGCUUAGGGGAUUCCUCAGCAAUACAUGUCAAAUAAGGCAACCAUGGGCGGAUGGAGUACACCUGGUGAACAUAUUGUUCAAAUAAACACAUACAGGUUGCGAGCCUGCUAGCAUUCCACUGGACUGUCUAGAAUAGUACAUGGUCGUCAUCCAUACUCCGCUAGAUGACUGGAUCAAUGUCAAAAUCGAGGCCUCUCCUCAUUUUAUUUCAUCACUCAUAAAAUAUUUCAUCUACCCAUGUUUUACCCAACAUAUUUGUAGAUAUAAAAUACAUAUACAAUUUAGAUCUGAAAAAGGGUCUAAAUCUUUCAUCCAGCAUAGAUGUCAAGAUAUAAAAUACAUAUAUAGUUCAGAUCUGAAAAAAAAGGUCUAAAUCCUUCAUCCGACAUAGAUCUCAAGAUAUAAAAUAGAUAUACAGUUCAGAUCUGAAAAAAAGGUUUAAAUCUUUCAACCAACAUAGAUCUCAAGAAAGAAAAUUCACAUACAUUUUAGAUCUAAAAAAAAAGGUUCAAAUCUUUCAUCCAACAUAGAUCUCAAGAUAUAAAAUACAUAUACAGUUCAGAUCCGAAAAAAACAGGUUUAAAUCUUCCAUCUCACAUAGAUCUCAAGAUAUAAAAUACAUAUAUAGUUCAGAUCUACAAAAAAUGUUUAGAUCUAAAAAAGUGGGUUUAACUCUUUCAUCGAUCUCAAGAUAUAUAGAUAAUAUGCACACAUAUCACAUAAUUUAUAUAGAAUACUUCAUAUCUAUCUGUAAGAUGAAAGUAACUAUGCACUCACAUAGAUCUCAAGAUAUAAAAUACAUAUAUAGUUCAGAUCUACAAAAAAAGUUUAGAUCUAAAAAAAUGGGUUUAACUCUUUCAUCGAUCUCAAGAUAUACAGAUAAUAUGCACACAUAUCACAUAAUUUAUAUAGAAUACUUCAUAUCUAUCUGUAAGAUGAAAGUAACUAUGCACUCACUUGUUAAGGUGUGGAUUCCAACUUGGACAACACUUCGCUUCUACGAAACGGGGAGGUUUGCUUGAAAACCAGGCUCUGCAGGGGCAAAGUUCCGAGCCAAUUUUUUUCUUGUAGCCUUUGGGUGCUCUGGGGAUUUCUUCUAGUGCUAGGGAAGUUUCCUAGGCUUGGGGGGGUGUUUGGGAGGUUUAGAGAGAGAGAGAGAGAGGGAGAGAGAUAGAGAGUAGAGAGAGAAAGAAAGGGUUUAUGGUGUGAAGAAUGAAGCAAGCCUCUCACCUCUAUUUAUAGCUGAAUUUUGGCUCAUCUCGAUGAUUUUUGGGCCUCCAACUCAUCGAGUAGGUGGCAAGUGUCACCAUUCUGGUGGACAACAAGUAAUGGCCUAUAUUGUGCCACGUCACCCCUUUUGCAGCAGCACCCUGCCGACUUCUAAACCCCGUAAAUUUAGCAUACGAGCUUCAUUUUUGAUGUUCUUUAUAUCCACGUGUAGGUAUUGACAAGAUCUACAACUAUUCUUUUGACUCCAUCAGCUAUAUCUCGAUCGAUUUUAAAUUUAACAGUAUGAGACUAUUAUACUGUUAAACGACAGUGUAAAAUUCAUAACCUCUACAUACGGACUCCGUUUUCGUCUGUCUUUUUAUCGUUGAACUCUUCUUAAUGAGAUGUUAAAUUCUCAUUUACGUUGUGUCGCCCAAAUAUCGAUCGAUCUAAAAUUCGAAUUUCGGGCUGCACAUUGCUAUGCCAAAUCUUAAAAAAUUCAUAAUUUCCUCAUACGAAGUCAGAUUUGGAGGUUCUUUUUAUGCAUGCUCUCGGUUUAACGUAUACUACAACUUUUGUUUCGAUCGAUAAGGCUAAAAACUAAUUUGUCAAAAAUUCACUUUUUACUUUACACAGUGUCGUGUCGGUUUAGCCGUAAAACUUCGACAAGUGAUACAUUCUUCGUUAUAACUUGAAUUUCGGCGUUCUUUAUAUCUCCGGAAUCCUUUUCACGACCACUACAACUUUCUUCAUUGAUAACAAGUUUAUAUAUAUUUUUGUUUUUGGCGUUUAUUGGCAUUCUUAAUUUUUUAUAUCUUAUAAAUAAGUAUAAUGCACAUAAAAUCACCUAAUCCACAUAAUAUUCAAGUAAUUCCUCUUUAUUACUUCAAAAUAAGUUACAUUUGUUGACCCUAGCUAUUACAUCAUUGUAUCAAUGCUUAGCCUCGUAAAACGGGCGUUACAGAGGCACAAGAUUUCGGAUCUACUAGGGUUUUUUAAGCAUGGGACGAAAUCAUGAGGGUUGGGGCUCUAUUUAUAGAUGAGGUGGCUUAGAUCCAAAGCUAGGGUUUUGAGGUGGAAACCAUAAUCCCUUAGCUUAGGGCCUAAGCAACCCAUGGACUCCCAUCCAUGAGGUUCGGACGAAAUCCCCUAGAACAUUGUAGGAAUGUUCGGCCUACCCCAAUAAAGGUGAUCCAAGAACCCAAAAUACCAACUAUCAAAUAAUUGCAAAAUAGCCCUACACUUUUAAUCAGUUCCUUUAAUCCCAAAAGUAAUUCGAAAUUAAUUUAUGAUUAAAUACUAAUUAACAUUAUGAUUUCUAAUUAAUAUAUUAUUCUUAUAAUAUAUUAAUAAAUCAUUCCAUGCACCAAUUUAUUAUUCCAAAUAAUAAAUUCAACCUCUCUUUCCAAAAGUCAUCAUGUCAAGUUGCUAGAGUAAAGGCAACCCAAAAGGAAUCUGAGUAUACACCAAUUAUAGUUAUGGGCUUAGACACCUAAUCCAACAUAAUUGUGAAACAAACCCAUGUGUUUACUUAACGGAUGUCACACAUCAAAACCCACAACAUGAUGAAAUAGAAAGACGGGAAUCGAUGAGAAGCACUAGAACAAAAUCCCAGCCAUAAAUAUCCAAAGAUUAUGUAUUCAAGCUAUCCCAUUUGACCAGCCAUCAGCAGCUUGAUUCCAGUUAAGUGACCUCCACGAUACACCUUAUCUCUAACUUGAUGUCAUAUCAAAAAUUUUCUGGCAGUCAUAAAGCUUACUUGACGGCCACUACUCUAAAUGAUGAGCCAUGACCUUUUGACCAGGCUUUGCAGGGUAAGAACUGGAAAGAUGCUAUGCAACAAGAAAUACAAGCUUUAGAAACAAAAAAUGAAACUUGGAAUCUUACUGAUUUUCCGAAAGGAAAGCGAGCGAUCUAUUCAAAAUGGGUUUAUAAAAUUUAAUAUAAACCAAAUGGGGAGAUAGAAUGGUACAAGGCUAGGCUAUUAGCAAAGGAGUUCACACAGACGGAUAGGGUAGAUUAUUAUGAUGCUUUUGCACCAGUUGCAAAGCUUGUUAUCGUGUGUAUUCUUUUGUCGGUUGCAACUAAAAAGAUUGGUUUGUACAUAAACUGGAUGUCAAUAAUGUGUUUCUGCAUGGAGACUUGGAUGAAUAGAUGUACAUGAAAAUUCCUCAAGGAUUCUCUAAAGAAGGUGAAACUAUUGUGUGUCGUUUGCAAAAAUCUCUCUACGGGUUGAAAGAAGCGUCUAAAUGAAACUCACAAGAUUCCUUUUAAGUAUAAUUUUUCAUCAAUAUAAAGCUGACCAUUCCUUAUUCUUGCAUAAUCAAGAUGGAAAUCACACUGUCAUUUUCAUUUAUGUGGAUGAUGUUAUUAUAACUAGAAAUAAUCUAGACUGGAUUCAAGAAACAAAGACACAACUCAAUAAAGCCUUUAGCAUCAUACAUCUUGGAUUGUUAAACUUUUUCCUUGGUAUAGAGGUGGAGAACACUUCAAAUGGGCUCGUUAUGAGAAGGAGUGUAACACCGUGAAAAUUUACAACCAAUUUAAACUUUUCAAAAACAAACCAUAUCCAUUAAGUUAUUACAAAAAGGUUUUUAGUUCAUUUAUGUGACAACCGUCAAUUUUCGGUCAAGUCAAAGUCAACUUAAGUCAACAAGUCAAACCAGUCAACUCAAGUAACCCUUGUGUACUAAGGCUUACGUUAUGUAUUUACUAAACAACUCGUUAUUCUAAUGAGAGAUCAUAAAUCGAAAAGUACGUACAUCUAGAUUUCGUUAACCUAACACUAUGGUAAGUAACGAGCCAAACCGAUAAAAGAAUGUUGCAUACUCAUUGGGAGUGUGUAAGAUCCUUAAACAAGGCUUAACGGGGUUUACGGACCUCGCAUUGCGAAGCCAGCCACUCAAAAAGGUCACAAAUGAAACCUCUCUUAAUCGUUUUCACUCUAUCUCUUCUUAUUGGGAAUCUCUCCCAAAUCUCUCCAAGCAUGUGAAAUCUCUCCCAAAUCUCUCUUUGUAUGUGAAAUCUCUCCAAGAAUGUGAAAUCUCUCCCAAAUCUCUCUUUGUAUGUGAAAUCUCUCCCAAAUCUCUCCAAGAAUGUCAAAUCUCUCCCAGAUCUCUCUUUGUAUGUGAAAUCUCUCCAAGAAUGUCAAAUCUCUCCCAAAUCUCUCUAAGUAUGAGAAAUCUCUCCCAAAUAUCUCCUUGUAUGAGAAAUCUUUCCAAGUAUGUGAAAUCUCUCCCAAAUCUCUCUAAGUAUGCCAAAUCUCUCCAAGCAUGACAAGUCUCUCCGAAACAUCUCUCAAAAUCUCUCUCAACUUUCUAUAAUCACUCGGGGCAUCCCGACCCUCGAAUUUGGCGAAAACAACCCAGAAACGGAAGUCUACGCGAAAAACGGACUUAAGGAGCCGAAACUCCUCUUAGGAACCGAAACCCCUCUUAGGACCAGAAAGUCCUCUUAGGGACCGAAACCAAGAAGACCCGAACCCGAAGGUCCUCUCAGGGGUGAACCUCGCUCAGAGGAACCGAACCCGAUGGGUCCUCUCGGGCCCGAACCUCGCAUGCCACACCCGAACCCGAAGCCUCGGUCCCUUUCGCUUCAUGGUGCCUUCGGUCCAUCUCGGUACUGACCCUUCGGACCGAGCCUUCGCUUCUCGCUUCCUCGGCUCUUUUCGCUUCGGACCCAGCCUCAGGAGGACCGAACCUCGGCCAAGACCGAGAGGUCUCGCUGGGAAGCCUCUUUUCUCCCGGUUUUCGUCUAAAUUUGCAUUUUAGGCCCGUUUUUAAUUGUUUUAACACGAAAUUUUCAACCAAAACUUUAUUUUAACAUAUAAGGACCAUAAUUAUUGAAUUAUCACGUUUUUAAGGGUAAAACGUUAUCCAAAAGAGUGGGUGAAGUACAAAGGUGGAGUGUUCACUUUCCUUUAUUUUAUGACACAAGCAACCUCCAUUACCCACUCCAUGUCACUAUUCCCCAUCAGCCCUUACCUAGUCACUUCAUUGUACUUUUCCCACCUUUUUCCAACCCCACAAUUGGUCAAAGGCUAGAAAAGCCUCCUCUCUCCUCAUUUCUCUCAUUUUCUCUCUUUUCACCAAAAAGAUCAAACUCUUUUCUCUCUCAUUUUCCCUCUCUAGAAUUCGAGAUUCAAGGGCUGAUCUUAGGUUUUUCCUCCACAUUUGGUAAGCAUAAUCCCUUCUCCUUAUGAUUAUUUCACUUCUUUCUACUCAAAUCAUGGAUAUCUUACACAAACUCCAUCAUAAUUGUGUUAGAUCUUCGA
rnacentral:lncRNA from 1 species